AGUAAAGUCACUUUAUUUGGUACAUUAAAGUUCCAAACCUGAAUUUAAUUUCCAUUUGACUGCAAUCCUCGGUAUUAUAUGUUCUGUCUCUACAAAGAAGAAACGCAGUCCACAAAGGACACAGACCUUAUUGAGCUUAGGGAAAAACAAUGUAUAUAGUUCUCUUCUAAUUGCAUAAAUAUAGUCUUCUCUCUCUCACUAGUUUUCAUAUAUAAGCUCUCGACUGAGUUCCGCUCGGUGUCCAAAACUUUCAUAUCUAAACCAUGACUGCGCCAGUGCCUUCUCUCAUCUACCGACGCGGCGGGGGUCUCCUCCCGCCUGGAGCUUGAUCUUCCUCGUCGGAUUCGACGUCUCCAUACUGCCACAGCCGCAGCCUUUCCUUCUUCGCCUUCUCCUGGAACUGUUCCAGGUUCUCGAGAGCUGUCUUCCUCUCCUUGGUGUCCCAUCUCUUGCCCCUUUCAAGUCGGGCAAGCCCUUCCUGCAAACAUUAGCAUGAGCAUGUUAGGGAUGAAGUUGACUAUUCCCAAACACAUAAAUAUGCAUCUAAGCUGGGAUAGGAAAUAAUGCUAAUAAUACUGAAUUCAUUGAAUAUAACUCGCACGUCGACCUCAAAAAGUAACUCAGACGUCAGAUAAACCAGAGUAGCUGGUAACUGAGACGAUGUUUCCAUAACCCUCAGAAUCCAUAUACACCACAAAACAUACUUAAGGUAGGUAGGAACUAGCGGAUAACAAUCCUAAUGUAUAGCAUUUCCGAAGCUACAUUUCCAAAAAAAACAUGGAGGGUCUAAACACUACUGUAUAAUUUUCAUGAUCAAUAUUAAAAAAAAUAUGACUAAUUCUGAGUGAUUGUGUAAAACUACUCAAACUGCUUAAGCAAUAUCCUCCAAACUAUUUUCAUAGCAAACUAUUUCUAUAAAGAAAGCUCCUCAUGGAAAGAUCAAAGCAGACCAUGCAGAACCCCGCCAGCCAGUAAACAAAGCUAACCAGCAAUUCAUAAUGCAUAACAGUUAAUAGCACAAACCUCGAGCAUGGCAGCAUUGAUGCUGGAUUCUGUCUCUGGAUCAACAAGAGUCACAAUGAGUACAGGUCCAGUGCCUUGUCCCUUCACUUUACCACCAGUAGUGUCGCGCUCUUCGAUCAUUGCCCGGUAUUGUUUUGAACUGCUCAGCAAGCAUUCGCUGAGAUACUCUGCUGCUUCCUGACCAUUAUCAUCCUCCAGACCAGGCACCUUUAUGAAGGCAAGGCUGCAGAGCUGAGCAAGAGGAGGAGAGGAGGAUACUGAUGGGUCUGCAGGCCGGAUGCGGUUGUAAGGAACCACUUCUUGGUUGCCAAAAUCAAUGUAGAAUACUUCAAAUUUGUCAUCUACAGACUCUACAGCUCCUCGGGGUCCAUUAACAAUCUGCAGGAAUUAUGAUGGAAAUUCUCCUUAGGAUACUGUACGAUUUUAUUAUAAACAAAUAUGUAAAACUAAUUAGUCAUCAUGAGAAGAACAAAUAUUAGCAUGUAGCAUUGCACUGAAGUGGGACAUCAUGCGCGUAUUUUCAACAAUACUGUCAACUUGGCAAGAUACUGCUAAUAGUAUUGUCAUGUGCACUGUUAGGUACUCAAGUCUGACACUCGGCAUGUAUCACUUCACCUAAAUGAUCCUAACAAGCACACCAAUUCUUAAGGUCCAGCAGCUUAAGUAGAAACUGAUAUUUGUUAAAUGCGUCAAGUUAAACGGCUAAUGACAGGUCUAAGUAUCUAUUAAAGAUAUUGCUGAAAUCAGAGUCUGAAUUUAAUAGCCAAUCUAUGACCUUGAUACAAGAAUAAUUAGUUAGUUUUAAUAUGAGUGAAUUAACUGUAGUCAUACCAUGGCUCUAUUCCAAGAGUUGUCGAGGCUAAACUGAGCAAGGACUAUCUCUCCCUUCCCAGGAUUAAAAGCACCAAUGACUGGUGCCUCCUUAAGUUUCAAGGAUGCAAGCUGUUGUUGGAUGGAAGCUACUCUCUGGUCACCUACUGUCUGGGCAUAGAACUUUCCACCACCAAGAACUUCAGUAGCAACAACCUGAACUCAGGUAACAGAGCCAUGUCAGCACUGUUUUAGUAACGACAAAAAUCAACUACUUCCAAUGUUUUUUCAUCAACGAACCUUCAGAAUUUCCUUUUGUUUGGAUUCAGAGGCCGACCCAUUAGUAACUUCUUCACCCUCGACAUAGUUCUCCCAUAUCUUGAUAAAUAGGUGUCAGUAACAAAAAAAAACAAUUAUGUACUUCCUAAAAGAUGUAGCAGUAUAACAGGUUACCUUCAGUUUCUGCUGCUUUGCUAACUUUUCAGCUCUUGUGAGGACAUGAGCAUCUGGAAUCCUAUCCAAGCCAAAUGAACUAAGCUUGGCCAAGCCAGACUCCAAAAGAACAGAACCCACAUUGGUCUUAGACUCCCACAAGGAACCUAUGAAUGUUCCAGUUCUAUCAACUGUUUCAACCUCAAUCUGCAAAAUGAUUUGGUAUCCUUCAGAUAUUGAAGAUUGAGAUAUGGACAAAGCAGAGAGGCAGCAAACGCCAUACCUCCACAUCACGCUGUAGAAUCAUCCUCCUCAUCAAAGCAAUAGCUUCGCUCGAGUAGGGCUCAUCUUUACCAGGGCACCUAACACCAGACAAAGAAAAAGCGAUGCUGCAAGUCUCCUUCGGAAUUGUUAGUUUGAAACGAUGACCGCUGAACACAUAUUCAACAACAGCAGUAUGCCUUCUAUUCCGCUGCAGGAAGGGAAGGAAAUCUUUGGCCUUCUUAGAAUUAACCUGAGGAGAUAUGCAAUCAUAACAAUCUAUUAAUAAAGGUGCAGAGCAAAUGUCAAAGGAAACUACUGGAACAAGCAAGAAUGCCAACCAUUGUUAAAUCUGUUAUAUGCAUCACAGGAGGAAGUUUGUCAGAGUGAAUUCCUUUCUUUGCUUUCUCAGCACGUGAGUGAGCCGCUAAUAGAGCAUCAAAAUAAUGUGAUCUUUCCUCAUAGUCACGGUGUUUUGAUAUCUCAGCAAAGCCCCGUGAGAGCAAAAGCUCAGCAACAUUAAUUUUAGGCUGGGUGCCUGUGCUUGGAGCAGAAGAUGUGUCAUCUCCGUCCGCCGGUGAUGGCGAACCUAGAAACACUGAACCAUAAUCCAAAACUCUGGUAUCAGCCGAGUUCAUUACAGGCACAGCAUUCUGUCCAUCCAUUGUACUGAUCCUUCUAGAAUAUUCCAUUUCCACGGUCACCUGAAAUUUUGAAAAAAGGGAUAUAUCAGUCAUUUCUCAACUAAGAAAUCAACUUCUCAUCAUUGUAACUUCAGUAAGAAUAUGAGCAGCCCAUACAUACCUGUUUGCCAAUCAACCGAGUGCGCAAGAAUUCCUUAGAUUCACGAGCAAAUUUGUCGGGCUUGUUGUCCUCUCUGCGGGGAUUGCCUAGCUUAGGAGCUCUAAUACUUGAAAGAUUAACCCGCCGUUCUGCUGAAGGACUACCAUAAGGAGCAGCAUCAUCAGCAACAAUAAUACAAUCUCCACUCACAACUUCUACCACCUACAAAGACAUCAAUAUGAACCAAAUUAGUUAAGUCACAAGAAUGAUGAUCAAUAGACUGCUACUGAGAACAUGAAACCCACUUUUCCAGUGAAUUUCUGAUCAUGGAUUGGCUUCGAAUUUGUCACUGGUGGCUUAAAUCCAGUCCAAAUUCUCAGCUGUUCCUUUUUUGCCUGAAGUUCAGCAUUCUUCAGCUUUAUUUUAACUUCAACAUCUAGCAUGUUCGCACUCCAUUCCACAUAUUUCGCAAGACCCUGUAAUGGGAAGGUUACAGAACAGUUAAGAAAUGCAAAUGUCUGAAAGAUUAAAUAAACAAUUUAGCUAUUCUUGCUUCGUAGAAUGAAUAUGGAUAAAUAAUUAGUCAUACAUUUUCAACAAGCUCAAGGGACAAGUCCUUAGCAGUGUCACCAUCUGGGUAAUACACCGAACCAAUUAUAUUACUGAAACUGUCUGUCCCCUCCACCACAAUCCGCACCUAGAGAAAAAAUACAAAUCAAAACUGAUUAAAAGAUGAUACAUGUUGACUCUAAAGAUGGGAUAAAACAACCAAAAGAAAAGGUGGCUUACAUCUCUGUUCAGAACACGAGUCUCUGUGAAAUGCUUAGCUUCUCUUCCAAACCUAUCUGGUGGAACUUCAGUAGAGGCUGUCGAUGCAGCAAGCCUUUGUGCUGUUGUCAGUGGUGCAGGAGCUUCCCCAGAAUCGUCACCAUUUGUAGUGCCGUUAGUAGUGCCCUCUGGUUCGGCAACAACAGUAGGAUUCGGUGGUCGUCUCCCCAUGGACGGAGCCUGCAUUUCAUCAUUCUCAAUAUUUACUUUCUAACAGAAAAAAUAUAUAUGGAAUCAAAUAGAAGCUAUUGAGAAGCACACCUGCACUCCAGCGACAUAUAUCUGGACAAAUUGGAAACUUGGAAGCAAGUAAACACGAAUGGUACUGCCAUCACGAACUUGUUCGACAAUGGCUUCCAGACUCUUGCCUUUAUUUGCAACUGCAAAACCCUUUGCAUCAAAACCACUUAGUUCGCCAAUUGCUGAUGGUGGAAGAUCUCUUAUCGAAUCUUCAGCAGCACCAGGUUCCUAAGUUGGCAGAAAAUAAGAACACAAAAUUAGGUCAUCAUUCGAUAGAACAUUUGUGUCAUGCAAUUCAAAAGAUGGUUGCAGGACAGCAGGAACCCCAAAAGAAAGCAAACCUUGCUCCAACGGCCUAAACCCUGUUGCUUAGCAACUUCCUCCAACCUCAGAAGCUCAGAGACAUUUGGGAGUGGUUCACCCCCCUUGGGGCCUUGCUCCUUCACCUGAUCAAAUAAAUAAGAUCAAAAUUUACGAAAACAUUUGGCACAACAAAACAAUUGAGGAAAAAGUAAAUGGUUAUCACCCUUGCCCAUCCUGCAGCAACCACCAAGUAGGCAACGUUCUUGUCGCCAAGGUAGACAGUGCCAAAUUCUCGUCCGAUGUUAGGAGCAGUGUAAUCCACUCUAAAUGUGACCUCCUGCAAUAGAUUUUAGUUUUUCAUUUCCAAGAGAAUAUAGAAGUCGUUUUUAUGUGAUUACAUUCAGUAUUAAUACAUGCAUAGGAGGAUUUGGAAUAGAUAAAGAAAAGACACAUCAUGUACCUUUCCUACGCAGAGUUUCCUCAGAUACUCCCUGCUUUCCCAAGCAAAUGGCUCAUCCACUCCACCACGACGAGCCUAGAGCACCACAAAUAUACGGAUUCAACAGACAAGAAAAGAUGGAGACAAGAACAAAUGUACUGCACAAAUAACAUCAACAAUUUAUUAUAGAUGCAUUCCUAAGUGUCAAAUUAUACAAACAGAACACAGUGAAACAGUGGGAACGAAAAUGCAAUGAUGGAGAGAAAUUCUUGUGCCAAAUACUAACUUCCAUUGGCUCACAAGUGUAGCAUGUAAACAUAAUUCACUAUAGAGAAGGGUGGAAGCAGACCCUGCGCAAUCAAGGCUUCAACUCAGGCUCUAGAUCCAAAAGCCCAUAGAAACUACCAUAUAAAACAAAAAAAUGACUAAUAUAUUACAUCCCUAGAUGAGCAGGCCUAUAUCUAGCUCUGCCCCUGACAACACACUAAACCAGUGACUUACUCUAAAUUAAUGGAGGAAAUGAACACAUGCAACAAGUUAAAAUGUAAACCAUAUUCCCCUUGUCUAAAAGUGCAGACUGACUCUUACCAGCCUUGGGGCCAUAAGGUAUGACAGAGUGAUGGACUUCUCUGGUGGAAUCUCUGCCUUUGUGCUCCCCAUGAUGAGAAGGCAGUCUCCAGACGUCACAGCCUUCACCUUGCCCCUUAGCCAUCCUGAAGCCCCUGUGCUUGCUGCCAUGAUAGCACCUAUAUUUGCAAUCAAAAGGAAACAGAACUUCAUUAGCUGUGAAGUCAAAUUUAGUUGGGUCGUCCAUAUAAUUCAACAAUUCUUCUGUUAAUACAUGCAUGUUCCAUAAUUUUCAUUGUAUUUGGAUUUCACAGGCCAUAGGUGGCUAGAAGGAAAGAAAAACAUGACCGGUCACAUGUGAAUUGAAGAUAAUUAAUCACCACAAUGUUAAAAUUUUCCCAUAAAUCACUGCUGCUUUUUAAAUGUUGUAAAAUCAAUCCACUCCAAUCCUAACAUUGCAGAAACUUUCAGUCACGGCUCAGGGAGUCGCAGAACGGCGGAGCAGUGCACACAAAACAUACGAAACUAAAUAUGAUCUGAUACACACAGAAAUUCGUCCAGGCAGACAUGCACAGAGCUGCAACACUAACAGCCUGUGUAAAUCUGUACCUAGCCAGUGAGAAAACCUCGUCAGAAUUCCUGAGCCUCCGGAUCUGUGACCCGGCGGACCUGAACUGUACGUUUGUUACAUGCCGUGUUGUUCAGAACGCAUUGCCCUGCCCCUCUCCUGUCUAGCCGUGAGCCAUGGCAAAAAGGCGGCUGCCAUGCAACCAAAAUUUGUGGUGGGCACAAGGCUAAAUCCUCCGGGUGCAGCUUUUCCCCCAUGUUUCCUUUUCCGGAACGUGUUCAUUUUUAGCAACUUCCGAUGUGGUGCAACCCCCACCCCACCCUACCACACGCUGAACAACAAACAUGUUCCUACAGAUCUGUGAUGCUCGCCGCUGACAGUGAUAACCCCCCUGCCGCCUCGUUUUGCGGGAAAGCGCUGCCGUAAAAAAAAUUGCACGAAAAAAAACACUAGAUCUACGUUAAACCCAACAGAAAAAAAACAUCGUCAGAACCUUCAAACGGAUCUAGGCAAAAUCUACCGUAAACGACCACGAACUACCGCUCGAAGGAAAACAGUCGAAUCAGGAGCACUCCAGGCGAACCUGCUCCACAUCUACCGCGCAGAUGGGUGGGAGAAAAACUGCAGGGAUCGCGAAAACAGAGCAGAUUACCCCUGCGCAUCCUCCAAGCUUCGAAGGCUAGAUUACAACUAGCAGAGGAGGAGAUCGGGAAUGGAAACAGAGCGCAUCUGGCAGCCAGAUUAGAACAGGCAAUUCACCGGCCGGCGAACUGGCACGGACGCGCGCGUCGGCGAGCGGCUAUCACGACGGCGAGGAGGAGAGGGGAGGAGGGGCGGUCUCACCUUGGGGGAGGGGUCGGCCUCCGCCUCCCGAUCCGAGAUCCGGGAGAGGGGGUUUGGCCGGCCUGAUCCGGGGAGGAGGAGGGAGGAUCUCUCUCUGAUCCCGAUCCGAAUGAGGGAGGAAAAAAAACGCUGGAGUGGAGCGACGCCCACUGCCCCCAUUUAUAAUAUCAUCGGCAUUUUUUUGGAACCUUCUCCUCCGUAUUAAUUCCUUCGCUGGGCCGGCGGGCUCCUGGGCUGGGCUUUCCGCUGCACGCACGUGAGUCAGAGAGGAUGGUGGAUAGAUAUCGUGACGCGCAAGCGAGAAAGAGGACGAGGUUGCUGCACGCUACGUCAUGCUAGCUGGGUUUCUUUUGGGGAAAUGACGAGGUGGGGAUCUAUCUACCUAUCCAUCCAUCACCCCAAAGGGGAUGAAAGCUGUUGGGACAGAUGAUACAGCAGCUUUAUCCUCAGGCCUAGAGAGUUUGUUCAAUGCUUUCCAACUGUUUCUAUCAUCGAUCUGGGUUUUGUUGGGGUUGGUCUUCCUUUUAGUUGUGUUUUUCUUGGAUGUUAGUGAUGAGGAGGCUUUGGGCGUCAGGUUGUUGAUGAUGGUCACUCCAACAAUUGGAUGGGAUAGAGGAUUGUUGGUUAUUGAUUUGAUUGUCACAAUAACACAGGUGUACUAUAUACGAUGUAUGGCCUUCCAUUUACGGAGGUCGAUGUUUAGCUCACGGUGUCGUCAUCCAUCGGAAUUUGUAUCUCCGCUAUUUACAUUGAGAUGUUUAUUACUUUUUCUUUCUAUUAAAGUCCUCGAGUUGCGGUAAAUAUUCAUUGUGCCGCUUUAUACAUUCAUUAUAGGAUAUGCUCAGUUAUUGUGCUUUGAUUGGUACAGUUGAGUGGAGAAAAGGGAACACGUGGCGUUAAUUUUUUGGGGGCGAGGGGGGUUCGCAAUUAUGAUCAAGGUAGCUCGGAAGUGGUUGUUGGUGGUUAGAGGAAAAAUCAUAGUAGGUACUUGUUGUGUGUCGUUGCCAAAUUGAUGUAAACAAAUUCCCAAAGGAAAUAUAUACAAUAGACACAAUUCCCAUAAUCAUUAUCAUGGAAUUUGUCAGGACCAUUUCCGUGGAAAUCUCGAUUUUAAAUUCUAAUUCUACACUACUGCAGAAACCUGUAUAGUCGUCUGCCUUUGAGUGACGGGCGGAGGGACUGCUUCACUAGUAAGGUGGCAAUCGCCUAUAGACCAAUGACGGGAACCGACAGUCGCCCUUCACUUGUAUGAUUUACAUAGGGAGGUCAAUUAUCCAGGGAUGAGCACCCUCUGGCCGCUCAUCAUGGGCAUUGCUCUCCCACAACUCCUUAGCCACCUACAUCAGUUUCAUGCGGGAUGGAAGAGGCAUUCUCCACAUCCAAAAACUGGGUGUCGUAGCCAUCAAUUCUCAAUCUUGCCAUCCGCUGUCGCAGGAGAUUCCCCACCACGCAUUGAUGAGUGUCUUUUACACACAAUUUUACCCUCUUUUAAACUGGAUAUUCAUGAAUAAUCAGUGAGUUUAUCACUUCAUCUGGCCCCACUAUUCACACUAAUAAUUGCAAAGAUGUGCAAAUCUCCUUGUUUAUUCUAUUCCUUGCAAAUAUGGAAAUAUCUAGGUGGAAAUCAAAGCAUAUAUGGGAUGUACUCGAGGAGACAACUAAUGGUAUUAGUGCAAAUGCUCGUACCGGCGAUCGCAACGCCGCCUCUGAGACGUGAGGACAAUGAGCUUUCGUGAAGGGGCACAAGCCCAGUGCGCAAUGGAGUGUCCCCUAAACCAUAAUUCACAUCCUACACUAUGAAAAGGGGCCAAAUAAUGAGUAGUGGUAAGAGUGGAAUAAUGAGUAGGGCCAAAUAAGUCCAUGUGUAGCACCUCGAAGGGACGUGUAGUCAUCAUGAUUGUCUUCUAGAGAUGCUUUGCCCUAGUCAUCUUCCCGGCUUCGCAGGUGACGGUGUCCUGGACUAGGGGGUGCCAACCUAUGUGGCCCACACAGUCCAUGGGUCAAGCUUACGGCCCGCCGAUCUCAACAAGGGAGGACUCCAGAAGCCUCGAACCCGGGCGUUGAAAGAGCAUGGUGCCCCAUGUUUGGUUUUGAUAACCGAUGACAAUCCCUAUGGACUAAUGGUUGCUUUGAGUUAUUUUUUAAGGUUUGUCCAUAGGCUUCGCUUGAAGGCCAUAUGUUGGUUUCAAGGUUAUAAGAAGGAUAAUAUGUGUUGACCAAGGUACUAUUCAAGGAUUUAUCCAAAGAUUGGUCAUGUUUUGUCGUGCAAGUUCAAGGGGAGCAUCACGAAGUGAUCUCUUGCUUGAAGUUUGCCGUCCAUUGUGGUGACAAUGGACAUGUGAAGAUGUGCUGAAGAGAGGCUCACCCAUAGUGGAGUAUGGGGGAGCAAUCUACUAGUCUUCGUCGAGCCAAAGCAAUCAAGAAAGGUGGUCCAACUUGAGGAAGUCAAGAUCGUCAUCAUCUAGCUCAAGUGGACUAUGUGCAAGGUAAAGGUUUUUCCUUGAUAGAUUUUCUAUUUUACCGGUCUCAUGGUGUUAGUUGGGAGACCGGGUUAUAGGAUUGAUAGUCGUAUUAUCAAGGAGGGCUCUCGAGUGAGUAGCUUGAUCGUAUCAUUCGUAGAGAGCUCAAACCAUUGCAUCAUUGGCAUCAUCUUUCUUGGUUCUUGUUUGGCUUCUCUUUGUGUGAGUUUUUGAGCUUGUGGUCAUCUUCAUGACAAGCUCAAGCUCAUCGAAAAUGGAGUUUGUAUGCAUCAUCUCUUGUGUUUUUUAUGUUGGAGUUUAUGCCGGUUCUUCACUCGUGGAGGUUUCACACCUCUAUAUCAUAGGCAUACUCCCCUUGCCACUUCUGAAGAUUUCCAGUCGUGAUUUGACAACUCUUGUCGUUAGCUUUCCAUCAAGCUUGAGUUCGUCCGAAUCAGAGUUCCUUUGCAGAAGUGUUGGCAGCUUUGGUCUUCCUUGCAUCCAUCUGUUUUACUUGGGUUGUUUUGCUGCUUCCUAUCGGUAGUACUUCCGUUGACAUGUACGGCUUCCACUUUCGCUUAUUUUUAUGCUUCUGUUGACCAAUCUACUUGAGCGACAGUAGAGCGAUAGUACUGCUCCCCCAAGUGGUAGUACUACCCUGGCAGAACUACCAUUUUUACUUCUGUUCUCAUUGGGUUGUGUUGACCUGGCCCAAUGCACAUAGCAGUUGGAUUUGGGGGGGGUAUUUAAGGGGUUCUUCUUCCCUAAUGGUUCUUAUCAUUUGAGCUUGUGUUUGCCCCCUGAGGGAGUCCUGGAUUAGGGGGUCCUCGGACAGCCGGACUAUAUCCUUUGGCCGGACUGUUGGACUGUGAAGAUACAAGAUUGAAGACUCCGUCCCGUGUCCGGAUGGGACUCUCCUUGGCGUGGAAGGCAAGCUUGGCAAUACGGAUAUGUAGAUCUCCUCCCUUGUAACCGACUCUGUGUAACCCUAGCCCCCUCCGGUAUCUAUAUAAACCAGAGGGUUUAGUCCGUAGGACAAGAAGAACAACAAUCAUACCAUAGGCUAGCUUUUAGGGUUUAGCCUCUACGAUCUCGUGGUAGAUCAACUCUUGUAAUACUCAUAUCAUCAAGAUCAAUCAAGCAGGAAGUAGGGUAUUACCUCCAUCGAGAGGGCCCGAACCUGGGUAAACAUCGAGUGGGAAGCGGACGACGAGGAAAUUCGUUCCCCACCCACCACCCACUUAAUAGCCAUUGUCGACGACUUAACCAACAUGCUCGAUUUCGGCUCCGAAGACAUCGACGAUAUAGACGACAAUGCAGGAGACGAACAGGAACCACCGCCCACAGGGCGCUGGACUGCCACCUCAUCAUACGAUGUAUACAUGGUGGACACUCCCAAAGAAGGCGAUGGCGACAAGGCAACGGAGGAUAAUCCCUCCAAGAAGCAAUUCAAGAGCCGGCGUCAGCGGCGCCGCUCUAAGUCCCGCCAUAGCAAAAAUAGCGAUACCGGCACAAGAGACAAUAACGCUCCGGAUAGUGCCGAAUACGGCGACAAUCCCCUCCAGCCAGACCUCGAGCGGGAGGAUGAACAAGCUAGCCCUCCGGAACAGGCAGCAUACGGAGAAUCAGAGGAUGACAAUUACAUGCCUCUCUCCGAAGACGAGAUGAGCCUCGACGACGAAGAAUUAAUCGUACCUGAGGAUCCCGUCGAGCAGGAGCGCUUCAAGCGCCAGCUUAUAGCCACAGCAAAAAGCCUGAAGAAAAAGCAGCAGCAGCUUCAAGCUGAUCAGGAUCUGCUAGCGGACAGAUGGACCGAAGUCCUGGCGGCCGAGGAAUACGAACUCGAGCACCCAACCAAAAGUUACCCAAAGCGCAGGUUGCUACCCCAACUCGAGGAGGAAGCACUGAAACCUGCACUACCAGCAUAUGAUGCGGCUGACCGGCCACCUCGCGGCCGAGAUAAAGCGGCGUAUCAGCCCGAAGUUCAGCCCGCACCGCGUCGCCAGUCAAACAAAAACACCAAGGCCCGAGGCAAUACACAGGACCUGCGAGACGUAUUGAAAAACAAAGCAGGACAUACAAGAUCGAUCUACGGAUCACGGGGGCGCGCCCCAACACGUGACGAUGAUCGUCACGCCGGAUACACUAAAAACAAAUCCGGCCGGGCCGAAUACAGCAGACAAGACUCGUAUGAACUGCGCCGCGACAUAGCCCGGCACAGAGGCGCCGCACACCCCCUAUGCUUCACCGAUGAAGUAAUGGAUCAUGAAUUCCCAGAAGGGUUCAAACCCGUAAACAUUGAAUCAUAUGAUGGUACUACAGACCCCGCGGUAUGGAUAGAAGACUUCUUCCUCCACAUUCACAUGGCCCGCGGGGAUGAUCUACACGCCAUCAAGUAUCUCCCGCUAAAACUCAAAGGGCCGGCUCGGCAUUGGCUGAAUAGCUUGCCGGCAAACUCCAUCGGAAAUUGGGAGAGCCUAGCAGACGCAUUCCUGGACAAUUUCCAGGGCACUUAUGUGCGACCGCCGGAUGCUGACGAUUUAAGUCAUAUAACUCAGCAGCCAGGGGAAUCGGCCAGGAAAUUCUGGACCCGGUUCCUAACUAAGAAAAAACAAAUUGUCGACUGUCCGGAUGCAGAGGCCUUAGCGGCAUUUAAACAUAACAUCCAUGAUGAGUGGCUCGCCCGACACCUCGGCCAAGAGAAGCCAAAAUCCAUGGCAGCCCUCACGACAUUUAUGACCCGCUUUUGCGCGGGCGAAGAUAGCUGGUUGGCUCGUAGUAACAACACAGCAAGCAAACCUGGCGCAUCAGAGGCCAGGGAUAGCAACGGCAAACCACGACGCAACAAACACAAGCGCCGCAAAUAUGGUGAAAACGCCGAAGAUACGGCAGUUAAUGCCGGGUUCAGCGGCUCAAAGUCUGGUCAGCGGAAAGGGCCACUUAAAAAUAACAAUACGGGCCCAUCAAGUCUGGACCGCAUACUCGAUCGCCAAUGCCAAAAUCAUGGCACCCCUGGGACGCCAGCCACUCAUACCAACAGAGAAUGCUGGGUCUUCAAACAAGCCGGCAGGGCAGGCGCCAAAAACAGAGAAGGGGGGUCUUAAAGCGACGAUGGCGACGAAGAGCCCAGAUCACCGAACACAGGAGGGCAAAAGAAACUUCCCCUACAAAUCCAAACAGUGAACGUGGUAAACAUCACCCACAUUCCCAACCCGGACCGGAUAUGCACCCUUAGGGAUGCCCACUUAACGGAACUAGUCGCCCCACAAUAUAAAUUAGGGUCGGUCACCUUCAACCGCACGGAUCGUCCGGUUAACGCCAAUCAGGGCAACCCAGCUGCACUAGUCCUCGACCCAAUAAUCGACGGGUUUCACCUCACACGAGUCCUCAUGGACGGAGGCAGCAGUUUAAACCUGCUCUACCAGGACACAGUGCACAAGAUGGGCAUCGAUCAUUCGGUGAUCAAACCCACUAAAGCCACUUUCAGAGGCAUUAUACCAGGUGUGGAAGCCAGCUGUACAGGCUCCAUCACCCUUGAGGUAGUCUUUGGAUCACCCGACAACUACCGUACUGAAGAGUUAGUCUUCAAAAUCGUCCCCUUCCGCAGUGAUUAUCAGGCACUGCUUGGACGAACCGCGUUCGCUCGAUUCAAUGCGGUGCCAUAUUAUGCCUACCGUAAGCUCAAAAUGCCCGGUCCACGCGGCGUUAUCACGGUUCAUGGCAAGGACGAACUUUACUUCGACGUCAACAAGUACACCGCUGCCUUAACAGCAGAAGCAACAAGCAGCACCUUGCAGCCGAACCUCGAGUCAACGGCCAAGCUCCCGGACACCGCCAAAGGACUCCGAAUUACUUCGCGGAAGGAUAGCCCGGCUCGUCCAGAGCUCAAUUAAACACUCCGGCGAAGGCCAAGACAGGCCUCCUUCCCCCCUGGUCUCAGCAGGUUCUACAGUCAUAUUUCCUUUUUAUCACAUUAAAUGUACUUAUACGCAUCGACGUGCUAUUCAAAUACAAAUAUGUGGAUUCAUAUGACGCUUAUCUGCUGCUAUUUCCUAUAAAAUUCUUUUGUCAAGUGGCAUCCGUACAUAGCGAUAUGCCUUAAAAUAUGCCAGGGGCUUCGUUUUCCCCAUAACACGGCAAUAAAAGACCAAACACCUUCACGGAAGUUCGGCACCCCGAACCUAUAGCAUUAUAUGUAUCAGCUCCGAAUCAUGUCUUGGGUCAAUAGUUGGGUUUGCCCGGCUCCCAUGUUUUGGUACCUUACGUUCCGCUAUAUCGGCUAAGGUAGCACUGGGAGAACUACUGCGAUCGUGUCCCGGUUCUUCUGGACGAGCACCUCAGUAGAGAAAGCCAAAACUGAUUGUCAUGAUAUGGCGAGAGCUGGUCAGCUGUUCGAGAGGUUACAAAAUCUUUAAGGAUUUCUCCCGCAUAAUGCCAUAACCAAUGCAGCGUGCGAUGGAUCGGUCUUUUCUUUCGACCAGGUGCUUAUAGAGCGCCCCCGUGCGGUCUUCCGAACACCAGGGGCUGCGCCUACCUUCCUAAAGCUCCUAUGGCUAAGUGAGAGUGCUAAAGCCUUAUAGUCCGAUUGCCUGGUUCGUUGUGCUGAACACCUCCUUCGAAGGACCCAAAACCGGGAUAAAGAGUGAUCAGGUUUAUCCCGAACACCCCCGUACUUCUUACGUGGGGGCAGAAGCCGACGACUGGCCAACUCUCAGGAUUAAUAUAUAAAACGGCCGCGCAGGAGGGUAAACUUUCGCCUAACAGGCAAUAAAUAAUAUAAAUGACAUUGUUCAAACAUUACAAAGGACAACAUGAUUUACAUUCAUGGAAAUAUAAUGUCCUUGGUGCAUAGCUCCGCUGCAAGGUAGGAUCCUUUCAGGACACUCUCAUAAUAUAAUUCGGGCUUGCGAUGCUCCUUCCCAUCUGGCGGUCCUUCGGUCAUCAGCUUUUCAGCAUCCAUCUUCCCCCAGUGCACCUUUGCGCGGGCGAAGGCCAUUCGCGCACCCUCUAUACAGACCGACCGCUUGAUGACAUCAAGUCGAGGGCAGGCACUCACAAGACGCUUCACGAGCCCGAAGUAGCUGCUGGGAAUCGGCUCGGCGGGCCAUAGCCGGAUAAUCAGAUCCUUCAUGGCUAGUUCUGCGGCCUUAUGCAGUUCGAUCAGCUAUUUCAGUUGAUCGACAAACGACACCGGAUAAUUCGGUGCCAAAUACUGCGACCAGAAGAGCUUAUCCGCAGUGUUCCCUUCUUCGGCUCGGUAGAAUUGGGCGGCAUCCGAUAUGCGGCGAGGCAUCUCGGCAAAUACCCCUGAGAAAUCCGAAUUCAAAAUUAGAAACAUAAUUUUCUCCUCCAAUACUCGCUUUACAUGGAAAAAACCUUACCCGCCGCAAUCUGCCUCGCCUCUUGGAUCCCCUGCAGGGCGCUUUGGGUUUCCCCCCAGGCAUCGCUCGUGGCCUGAUGCACCUUGGUGAGCUCGGAUUAUUUCUCCAUUAAACUCUGCUCCAAGGAUUCGCAUUUCCUCACGGCCUCUUGAAGCUCCUCCUCGGCUUUAAUAACCCUGGCCUCGUGCUUCUCACAAAGAGCCUGCUCUGUGGCUGCCCUUUUCUCGGCCUCGGCCACAGCCUUCUUAAGAGCCUCGACUUCGGUCAUCAUCCCUAGCGCAAAUCACGAAACAUAUUUCAUCAUACUUAUAAUUCAUUUGCAAUAAACACGAACAAGACUUGCGCAUACCUUGUUUAUCUCCCAACUGCAUUUUCAAUUGGCCAAGUUCUUCUUUGGCCCGCUCCAGACUUUGAUUCAGUCCGGAACCUCCGCAGUAUGAGAGGCAGUAGCCGCUACAGACGCCUGCUUAUAACAAAAGAGAGAUAGAUGUCAUCAAAUGAGUCUUCCUGCGAACAUUAAUUCGAUCCUCUGUGUGGUUCUUUCUUUCACCGAGCAGUGUAUCAGGGGCUACUAUCCAUACCAUGACACUCUUCGAAACCUCAUAAAACAUACCUCAAAACCUUUUAUAAGGCUGAAACAGGCUUCAUUCAGUCCGCUCUCAGCGGACUGAAUCUUCUCAAUCACUGCACCCAUAAGGGCACGGUGUUCAUCAACGAUGGAGGCGCUCUUCAGCGCCGCCAACAAAGCAUCCGACACCUCUGGUUGGACAGAAGUUGCCGGUGGAACAGGCAUGCCCCCUCCAGUUGAGAGAGGCUGCCUGCUGGAUUCUGGAGCCAUAUUGGUCUCCGGAAUUGCAUCCGGCUGGGAGCCGAAUUCAAGAUGGCCCCCGCCGUCAGCUCCUGUGGGAAUUUUCUCCCCCAUGUGUCCGGCCCCUGAAGUUUGACCUCCAGGCGCCGCCUUCAUGGUCUUUCCCUCUCCUCCUUGGCCGGGGUCCCUCUGGGACGAAGCCUCGGUGUUAUUCACCUGUUUGGAGGAAGGGGCCUUCGGGGGCGUCCCGCUCUCCAUAGCAUCUGAGCUCAGCGAAUCCUCUGAUGAGGAUUGCUCGGUACGGGACCUCGCCGGACUACAAAAAUAUGGCUCAGGUUAAAAUAUUAUGCCAUGAUGAGUCCGGACGCAUAAACGUAUUCGGACUGUAUAUACUCACGAGUUCACCAGGGGCUGGGCCCUGGGAUCCCACGCCGGGCCGCUGUCGGCGGCGGCAGUGGACUCCUCCGGAAGAGGAACUUUUCCCCUUUUGGGCGACUCGGCCUCCAAGUGUGCGGAGGCCGUCCUUUUCUUUCUUCCCCCCGCAGGGGAUUCAUCUUCCUCAUCCUCCUCGUCCUCUUCGGAGGCGGAACGGGCAUCAGAGCCUUCGGAUAUUGUGUCCGAAGUGCCGCGGCGACGAAGACCGCCCCGGGCCUUUUUGGCCCCCUUCUCGGCCGUCCUCUUCGGCACCUUGUAAGGCGCCGGGACCAGCAUCUUCGUCAGAAGUGGGAUGGCCGGUUCUUCGGGCAGCGGGGCCGUACAAUGGAUCUGCUCCACCUUCUUCGUCCAGCCCUAGGAGAGUUGUAGAAAAUACAUUAAGCGCUUCCUUUGGGUUAAGCGGAUAAAAAGUAUGAUGACUUACCGAGCUUGCAGGGCGGGACAGUUGGUACCCACGGUCUUCGGUGGAGUCCGGCCAUGAUUUGCUGGACUUGAAGAGCACCUUCCAGAUGUCUUUGUGCGAGGAGCCAAAAAGCUCUCGCAGGGUUUGGUGCUUGGCCGGAUCGAAUUCCCAUAGAUCGCAAGUCCGGUGUUGACAAGGUAGAAUCCGGCGAACUAACAUCACCUGGACUACAUUGACAAGUUCAAUGUUCUUGUCUCCUAUAUCUUUAACGCGCGUCUGGAGCACCGACAAUUCGUCGGACAAGGACCGGUUCAGGCCCUUCUUGACACAGGAUGUAAGCCGCAGAGGGGCUCCGGAUCGAAACUCGGGAGUAGCGGCCCAUUCUGUGCCGCGCGGCUCGGUGAUGUAAAACCACUGCUGUUGCCACUCCUUGACGGAAUCGUUAAAGGUGCCUGUUGGCCAUGUGACAUUGGGCACCUUGCUCACCAUAGCGCCCCCGCACUCGGCGUGCUCGCCGCCCACUACCUUGGGCUUCACAUUAAAAAUCUUCAGCCAUAAGCCGAAGUGUGGCGAGAUGCGGAGAAAAGCCUCGCACACGACAAUAAAUGUCGAGAUAUUGAGGAAGGAAUUAGGGGACAGCUCAUGAAGAUCGAUCCCAUAAUAAUACAUGAUGCCGCGAACGAACGGGUGGAGGGGAAACCCUAGCCCGCGGACAAAGUGAGGGAGGAAUACAACUCUCUCGUGGGGUUCCGGAGUAGGGACGAUCUGUCCCGCCGUCGGGAGACGGUGGCUGAUUUUCUUGGCCAGAUACCCGGCCUCCCGAAGCUUUUUGAUAUCCUUCUCCCGGACGGUAGAGGCCAUCCACUUGCCUCCUGCUCCAGAUCCGGACAUUUUCGGAAGGCCUUUGUGGGCAGAGAAGAUGAACGCUUGGGCACUGGAGCUCGAGCGAAGGGGAAUAGAUCGGGAGGAAGAAAACGUGGGUGCGGAAGGGAGUCCUUAUCCCCUUAUAAAGGCAGCAGGGAUUCUGCGUCUCCUCACUUGCCUGGUAAAACCGCUUAUUCCCCAAGCGCCGUAAUUGAUGGCGCGGUUGGGUUACCCACACCCGUAUUGAUGAGAAUCCCGUGAUAAGGGGACACGAUCUCUGCUUCGACAAGACGUGCCGAGAAAACCGCCUCGCAAUAUGUGCAGUGGCUGGUUGUGGAAAACGGUUCGAAUAAUGACCGGGCCGCGGUGUGAUGUCAUGCUGCAGAAGCUGUCGGCAGAUUAGAUUUGUGGAAAUAUUAUUCUCUCUACGGUGGUAUGUGGAAUUUGUUUUGCAGAGCCGGACACUAUCCUUGUGUUCAAAAUCUUCUAUGGAGUAUUCGGAGGAAGAACCCGCCUUGCAAUGCCGAAGACAAUCUGUGCGCCGGACUCAUCGUCAUUGAAGCCUGGUUCAGGGGCUACUGAGGGAGUCCUGGAUUAGGGGGUCCUCGGACAGCCGGACUAUAUCCUUUGGCCGGACUGUUGGACUAUGAAGAUACAAGAUUGAAGACUCCGUCCCGUGUCCGGAUGGGACUCUCCUUGGCGUGGAAGGCAAGCUUGGCAAUACGAAUAUGUUGAUUCCCUCCUUUGUAACUGUUGGAAAUAUGCCCUAGAGGCAAUAAUAAAUUGGUUAUUAUUAUAUUUCCUUGUUCAUGAUAAUCGUUUAUUAUCCAUGCUAAAAUUGUAUUGAUAGGAAACUCAGAUACAUGUGUGGAUACAUAGACAACACCAUGUCCCUAGUAAGCCUCUAGUUGACUAUCUCGUUGAUCAAUAGAUGGUUACGGUUUCCUGACCAUGGACAUUGGAUGUCGUUGAUAACGGGAUCACAUCAUUAGGAGAAUGAUGUGAUGGACAAGACCCAAUCCUAAGCCUAGCACAAGAUCGUGUAGUUCGUUUGCUAAGAGCUUUUCUAAUGUCAAGUAUCAUUUCCUUAGACCAUGAGAUUGUGCAACUCCCGGAUACCGUAGGAAUGCUUUGGGUGUACCAAACGUCACAACGUAACUGGGUGACUAUAAAGGUGCACUACAGGUAUCUCCGAAAGUGUCUGUUGGGUUGGCACGAAUCGAGACUGGGAUUUGUCACUCCGUGUAAACGGAGAGGUAUCUCUGGGCCCACUCGGUAGGACAUCAUCAUUACGUGCACAAUGUGACCAAGGAGUUGAUCACGGGAUGAUGUGUUACAGAACGAGUAAAGAGACUUGCCGGUAAUGAGAUUGAACAAGGUAUCGGGAUACCGACGAUCGAAUCCCGGGCAAGUAACAUACCGAUUGACAAAGGAAAUUGUAUACGGGAUUGAUUGAAUCCUUGACAUCGUGGUUCAUCCGAUGAGAUCAUCGAGGAGCAUGUGGGAGCCAACAUGGGUAUCCAGAUCCCGCUGUUGGUUAUUGACCGGAGAGUCGUCUCGGUCAUGUCUGCGUGUCUCCCGAACCCGUAGGGUCUACACACUUAAGGUUCGGUGACGCUAGGGUUGUAGAGAUAUUAGUAUGCGGUAACCCGAAAGUUGUUUGGAGUCCCGGAUGAGAUCCCGGACAUCACGAGGAGUUCCGGAAUGGUCCGGAGGUAAAGAUUUAUAUAUGGGAAGUCUUAUUUUGGUCGCCGGAAAAGUUUCGCGCAUUAUCGGUAUUGUACCGGGAGUGCCGAAAGGGGUCCGGGGGUCCACCAAGGGGUCCACAUGCCCCGGGGGGGCACAUGGGCUGUGGGGUGUGGGGUGUGCGCCUUGGCCCAUAUGGGCCAAGGGAACCAGCCCCAAGAGGACCAUGCGCCAAGAGAUAAGAUAAAGGGAGAGUCCUAAAGGGGGAAGGCACGUCCUAGGUGCCUUGGGGAGGAUUGACUCCUCCCUGGCCGCACCCUUCCUUGGAGGAAGGGCCAAGGCUGCGCCCCCCCUCUCCCUUGGCCCUAUAUAUAGUGGGGGGAAGGGAGGGCAGCAAACCCUAAGCCCUGGCGCCUCCCUCUCCCUCCCGUGACACAUCUCCCUCCUCCCGCAGCGCUUGGCGAAGCCCUGUUGGAAUCCCGCUACUUCCACCACCACGCCGUCGUGCUGCUGGAUCUCCAUCAACCUCUCCUCCCCCCUUGCUGGAUCAAGAAGGAGGAGACGUCGCUGCUCCGUACGUGUGUUGAACGCGGAGGUGCCGUCCAUUCGGCGCUAGGAUCAUUGGUGAUUUGGAUCACGACGAGUACGACUCCAUCAACCCCGUUCUCUUGAACGCUUCCGCUCGCGAUCUACAAUGGUAUGUAGAUGCACUCCCCUUCCCCUCGAUGCUAGAUUACUCCAUAGAUUGAUCUUGGUGAUGCGUAGAAAAUUUUGAAUUUCUGCUACGUUCCCCAACAAUGGUAUCAGAGCUAGGUCUAUGCGUAGUUUAUAUGCACGAGUAGAACACAAAGUAGUUGUGGGCGUCGAUGUUGUCAAUUUACUUGCCGUUACUAGUCUUAUCUUGAUUCGGCGGCAUCGUGGGAUGAAGCGGCCCGGACCGACCUUACACAUACACUUACGUGAGACAGGUUCCACCGACUGACAUGCACUAGUUGCAUAAGGUGGCUAGCGGGUGUCUGUCUCUCCCACUUUAGUCGGAUCGGAUUCGAUGAAAAGGGUCCUUAUGAAGGGUAAAUAGAAAUUGGCAUAUCACGUUGUGGCUUUUGCGUAGGUAAGAAAUGUUCUUGCUAGAAUCCGAUAGCAGCCACGUAAAACAUGCAACAACAAUUAGAGGACGUCUAACUUGUUUUUGCAGGGUAUGCUAUGUGAUGUGAUAUGGCCAAAAGGAUGUGAUGAAUGAUAUAUGUGAUGUAUGAGAUUGAUCAUGUUCUUGUAAUAGGAAUCACGACUUGCAUGUCGAUGAGUAUGACAACCGGCAGGAGCCAUAGGAGUUGUCUUAAUUUAUUGUAUGACCUGCGUGUCAAAGAAAACGCCAUGUAAUUACUUUACUUUAUUGCUAACCGUUAGCCAUAGUAGUAGAAGUAAUAGUUGGCGAGAUAACUUCAUGAAGACACGGUGAUGGAGAUCAUGAUGAUGGAGAUCAUGGUGUCAUGCCGGUGACGAAGGUGAUCAUGCCGCGCCUCGAAGAUGGAGAUCUAAGGCGCAAGAUGAUAUUGGCCAUAUCACGUCACUUUAUGAUUUGCAUGUGAUGUUUAUCAUGUUUACAUCUUAUUUGCUUAGAACGACGGUAGCAUAAAUAAGAUGAUCCCUCACUAAAAUUUCAAGAGACGUGUUCCCCCUAACUGUGCACCGUUGCGAAGGUUCGUUGUUUCGAAGCACCACGUGAUGAUCGGGUGUGAUAGAUUCUAACUUUCGAAUACAACGGGUGUUGACGAGCCUAGCAUGUACAGACAUGGCCUCGGAACACAUGUGAAACACUUAGGUUGACUUGACGAGCCUAGCAUGUACAAACAUGGCCUCGAAACACAAGAGAUCAAAAGGUCGAACAUGAGUCGUAUAGUAGAUGCGAUCAACAUGGAGAUGUUCACCGAUGAUGACUAGUCCGUCUCACAUGAUGAUCGGACACGGCCUAGUUUGACUCGGAUCAUGUAUCACUUAGAUGACUAGAGGGAUGUCUAUCUGAGUGGGAGUUCAUUAAAUAAUCAGAUGAACUUAAUUAUCAUGAACAUAGUCAAAAGGUCUUUGCAAAUUAUGUCAUAGCUUACGCUUUAGUUCUACUGUUUAAGAUAUGCUCCUAGAGAAAAUUUAGUUGAAAGUUGAUAGUAGCAAUUAUGCGGUCUGGGUCCGUAAACUGAGGAUUGUCCUCAUUGCUGCACAGAAGGCUUAUGUCCUUAAUGCACCGCUCGGUGUGCUGAACCUCAGCGUCGUCUGUAGAUGUUGCGAAACAUCUGACAUACACGUUUUGAUGACUACGUGAUAGUUCAGUGCGUAAUGCUAACGGUUUAGAAUUGUGGCACCAAAGACGUUUUGAAACGUCGCAGAACAUAUGAGAUGUUCCGAAGACUGAAAUUGGGAUUUCAGACUAGUGCCCACGCCAAGAGGUAUGAGACCCCUGACAAGUUUCUUAAGCCUGCAAACUAAGGGAGAAAAGCUCAAUCGUUGAGCAUGUGCUCAGAUUGUCUGAGUACCACAAUCGCUUGAAUCAAGUGGGAUUUAUUCUUCCAGAUGAGACAGUGAUGGUUCUCCAUAGUCACUGCCACCAAGCUAUUAGAGCUUCGUGAUGAACUAUAACAUAUCAGGGAUAGACAUGAUGAUCCUUGAGCAACUCGCGAUGUUUGACACCGCGAAAGUAGAAAUCAAGAAGGAGCAUCAAUUGUUGAUGGUUUGUAAAACCACUAGUUUCUAGAAGGGCAAGGGCAAAAGGGAUACUUCAUGAAACAGCAAAUCAUUUGCUGCUCUAGUGAAGAAUCCCAAGGUUGAACCCAAACCCGAGACUAAGUGCUUCUGUAAUGAGGGGAACGGUCACUGAAGCAGAACUACCCUAGAUACUUGGUAGAUGAUAAGGCAGGCAAGGUCGACAGAAGUGUAUUGGAUAUACAUUAUGUGAAUGUGUACUUUACUAGUACUCCUAGCAGCAUCAGGGUAUUAGAUACCGGUUCGGUUGCUAAGUGUUAGUAACUCGAAAUAAAAGCUACGGAAUAAAUGGAGACUAGCUAAAGGUGAGAUGACGAUGUGUGUUGGAAGUGUUUCCAAGGUUGAUGUGAUCAAGCAUCGCAUGCUCCCUCUACCAUCGAGAUUGGUGUUUGCGUUGAGCAUAAACAUGAUUGGAUUAUGUUUAUCGCAAUACGGUUAUUCAUUUAAGGAGAAUAAUGGUUACUCUGUUUAUUUGAAUAAUACCUUCAAUGGUCUUGCACCUAAAAUGAAUCUCAAUCGCAGUGAUACACAUGUUCGUGCCAAAAGAUAUAAAAUAGUGAUGAUAGUACCACAUACUUGUGGCACUGCCAUUUGAGUCAUAUUGGUAUAGAACGCAUGAAGAAGCUCCAUGUAGAUGGAUCUUUGGACUCACUCGUUUUCGAAAAGAUUGAGACAUGCGAACCAUGUCUAUUGGUAUAUAUGCAUGAAGAAACUCCAUGCAGAUGGAUCGUUUGGACUCACUUGAUUUUGAAUCACUUGAGACAUGCAAAUCAUACCACAUGGGCAAGAUGACUGAAAGGCCUCGUUUUCAGUAAGAUGGAACAAGAGAGCAACUUGUUGGAAGUAACACAUUUGAUGUGUGCAGUCCAAUGAGUGCUGAGGCACGCAGUGGAUAUCGAUAUGUUCUUACUUCACAGAUGAUUUGAGUAGAUGCUGAGAAUAUUUACUUGAUGAAACACAAGUCUGAAUUAUUGAAAGGUUCAAGUAAUUUCAGAGUGAAGUUGAAGAUCGUCGUGACAAGAGGAUAAAAUGUCUAUGAUGUGAUCAUAGAGAUAUCUGAGUUACGAGUUUGGCACACAAUUAAGACACUGUGGAAAGUGUUUCACAAUUAAUACCGCCUGGAACACCACAGUGUGAUGGUGUGUCUGAACAUCAUAACUGCACCCUAUUGGAUAUGGUGCAUACCAUGAUGUCUCUUAUCGAAUUACCACUAUCGUUUAUGGGUUAGGCAUUAGAGACAACCGCAUUCACUUUAAAAGGGGCACCACGCAAUUCCGUUGAGACGACACCGUUUAGAGAAACCUAAGUUGUCGUUUCUUAAAAGUUUGGGGCUGCGAUGCUUAUGUGAAAAAGUUUCAGGCUGAUAAGCUCGAACCCGAAGCGGAUAAAUGCAUCUUCAAUACCCAAAACAGUUGGGUAUACCUCCUAUUUCAGAUCUGGAAGCAAAGGUAAUUGCUUCUAGAAACGAGUCCUUUCUCGAGGAAAAGUUCUCUCGAAAGAAUUGAGUGGGAGGAUGGUGGAGACUUGAUGAGGUUAUUGAACCAUAACUUCAACUAGUGUGUAGCAGGGCACAGGAAGUUGUUCCUGUGGCACCUACACCAAUUGAACUGGAAGCUUAUGAUAGUGAUCAUGAAACUUCGGAUCAAGUCACUACCAAACCUCGUAGGUCGACAAGGAUAUGUACUACUCCUGAUUGGUACGGUAAUCCUGUCUUAGAUAUCAUGUUGUUAGACAAUACUAAACCUACGAGCUAUGGAGAAGCGAUGGUGGGCCCAUAUUCCAACAAAUGGUUAGAAGCCAUGAAAUCCGAGAUAGGAUCCAUGUAUCAGAACAAAGCAUGGACUUUGGUGAACUUGCCCGAUGAUCGGCAAGCCAUUGAGAUAAUUGGAUCUUUAAGAAGAACACGGACAUGGACGGUAAUGUUACCGUCUAUGAAGAUCGACUUGUGGCAAAGAGGAUUUUCUCAAGUUCAAGGAGUUGACUACGAUGAGAUUUUCUCAUCCGUAGCGAUGCUUAAGUCUGUCGGAAUCAUGUUAGCAUUAGCUGCAUUUAUGAAAUCUGGCAGAUGGAUGUCAAAACAAGUUUCCUUACCAGUUUUCGUAAGGAAAGGUUGUAUGUGAUACAAUCAGAAAGGUUUUGUCGAUCCUAAGGAUGCUAAAAGGUAUGCUAGCUCCAGCGAUCCUUCCAUGAACUAGAGCAAGCAUCUCGGAGUCAGAAUAUACGCUUUGAUGGAGUGAUCAAAGUUUUUGGGUUUAUACAAAGUUUGUUAGAAACUUGUAUUUACAAUAAAGUGAGUGGGAGCGCUACAACAUUUCUGAUAAGUAUAUGUGAAUGACAUAUUGUUGAUCCGGAAUGAUGUAGAAUUUCUGGAAAGCAUAAAGGGUUGUUUGAAAGGAGUUUUUCAAAGGAAGACCUGGAUAAAGCUGCUUACAUAUUGGGCAUCAAGAUCUAUAGAGAUAGAUCAAGACACCUGAUGAUACUUUCAAAGAACGCACACCUUGACAUGAUUUUGAAAGAGUUCAAAAUAGAUCAGCAAAGAAGGAGUUCUUGGCUGUGUUACAAGGUGUGAGUAUUGAGUAAGACUCAAGACCUGACCACAGCAGAAGAGAGAGAAAGGAUGAUGGUCGUCCCCUAUGCUUUAGACGUAGGCUCUACAGUAUGCUAUGUUGUGUACCGCACAUGAAGUGUGCCUUGCGAUGAGUUGGUCAAGGGGUACAAUAGUGAUCUAGGAAUGGAUCACAUGACAGCGGUCGAACUUAUCCUUAGUAUCUAGUGGACUAAGGAAUUUUCUCGAUUAUGGGGGUGAAAAGGAGUUCGUCGUAAAGGGUUACGUCGAUGCGAACUUUGACACUAAUCCGGAUGACUCUGAGUAGUAAACCGGAUUCGUAUAGUAGAGCAGUUAUUUGAAAUGGCUCCAAGUAGAGUGUGGUAGCAUCCACAAGAUGACAUAGAUAUUCGUAAAGCACACACGGAUCUGAAAGGUUCAGACCCGUCGACUAAUAACCUCUCUCACAAGCAUAACAUGAUCAAACCAGAACUCAUUGAGUGUUAAUCACAUAGUGAUGUGAACUAGAUUGUUGACUCUAGUAAACUCUUUGGAUGUUGGUCACAUGGUGAUGUGACCUGUGAGUGUUAAUCACAUGGUGAUGUGAACUAGAUUAUUGACUCUAGUGCAAGUGGGAGACUGUUGGAAAUAUGCCCUAGAGGCAAUAAUAAAUUGGUUAUUAUUAUAUUUCCUUGUUCAUGAUAAUCGUUUAUUAUCCAUGCUAAAAUUGUAUUGAUAGGAAACUCAGAUACAUGUGUGGAUACAUAGACAACACCAUGUCCCUAGUAAGCCUCUAGUUGACUAGCUCGUUGAUCAAUAGAUGGUUACGAUUUCCUGACCAUGGACAUUGGAUGUCGUUGAUAACGGGAUCACAUCAUUAGGAGAAUGAUGUGAUGGACAAGACCCAAUCCUAAGCCUAGCAUAAGAUCGUGUAGUUCGUUUGCUAAGAGCUUUUCUAAUGUCAAGUAUCAUUUCCUUAGACCAUGAGAUUGUGCAACUCCCGGAUACCGUAGGAAUGCUUUGGGUGUACCAAACAUCACAACGUAACUGGGUGGCUAUAAAGGUGCACUACAGGUAUCUCCGAAAGUGUCUGUUGGGUUGGCACGAAUCGAGACUGGGAUUUGUCACUCCGUGUAAACGGAGAGGUAUCUCUGGGCCCACUCGGUAGGACAUCAUCAUUAUGUGCACAAUGUGACCAAGGAGUUGAUCACGGGAUGAUGUGUUACGGAAUGAGUAAAGAGACUUGCCGGUAACGAGAUUGAACAAGGUAUCGGGAUACCGACGAUCGAAUCUCGGGCAAGUAACAUACCCAUUGACAAAGGGAAUUGUAUACGAGAUUGAUUGAAUCCUCGACAUCGUGGUUCAUCCGAUGAGAUCAUUGAGGAGCAUGUGGGAGCCAACAUGGGUAUCCAGAUCCCGCUGUUGGUUAUUGACCGGAGAGUCGUCUCGGUCAUGUCUGCGUGUCUCCCGAACCCGUAGGGUCUACACACUUAAGGUUCGGUGACGCUAGGGUUGUAGAGAUAUUAGUAUACGGUAACCCGAAAGUUGUUCGGAGUCCCAGAUGAGAUCCCGGACGUCACGAGGAGUUCCAGAAUGGUCCGGAGGUAAAGAUUUAUAUAUGGGAAGUCUUAUUUUGGUCGCCGGAAAAGUUUCGCGCAUUAUCGGUAUUGUACCGGGAGUGCCGAAAGGGGUCCGGGGGUCCACCAAGGGGUCCACAUGCCCCGAGGGGCCACAUGGGCUGUGGGGUGUGCGCCUUGGCCUAUAUGGGCCAAGGGAACCAGCCCCAAGAGGCCCAUGCGCCAAGAGAUAAGAUAAAGGGAGAGUCCUAAAGGGGGAAGGCACCUCCUAAGUGCCUUGGGGAGGAUGGACUCCUCCCUGGCCGCACCCUUCCUUGGAGGAAGGGCCAAGGCUGCGCCCCCCUCUCCCUUGGCCCUAUAUAUAGUGGGGGGAAGGGAGGGCAGCAAACCCUAAGCCCUGGCGCCUCCCUCUCCCUCCCGUGACACAUCUCCCUCCUCCCGCAGCGCUUGGCGAAGCCCUGUUGGAAUCCCGCUACUUCCACCACCACGCCGUCGUGCUGCUGGAUCUCCAUCAACCUCUCCUCCCCCCUUGCUGGAUCAAGAAGGAGGAGACGUCGCUGCUCCGUACGUGUGUUGAACGCGGAGGUGCCGUCCGUUCGGCGCUAGGAUCAUCGGUGAUUUGGAUCACAACGAGUACGACUCCAUCAACCCCGUUCUCUUGAACGCUUCCGCUCGCGAUCUACAAUGGUAUGUAGAUGCACUCCCCUUCCCCUCGGUGCUAGAUUACUCCAUAGAUUGAUCUUGGUGAUGCAUAGAAAAUUUUGAAUUUCUGCUACGUUCCCCAACAGUAACCGACUCUGUGUAACCCUAGCCCCCCUCCGGUGUUUAUAUAAACCGGAGGGUUUUAGUCCAUAAGAAGAACAACAAUCAUACCAUAGGGUAGCUUCUAGGGUUUAGCCUCUACAAUCUCGUGGUAGAUCAACUCUUGUAAUACUCAUAUCAUCAAGAUCAAUCAAGCAGGAAGUAGGGUAUUACCUCCAUCGAGAGGGCCCGAACCUGGGUAAACAUCGUGUCCCCCGCCUCCUGUUACCAUCCGCCUUAGACGCACAGUUCGGGACCCCCUACCCGAGAUCCGCCGGUUUUGACACCGACACCCCCCAUUGUUGACCUUCUUUGAGCUUGCUAUCUCUUAAUCACUCCAAUGAUUAUGGCUAGUUCUUGAAGGCCAUACACUUUUAGGGGGGAGAUGGCCCUUCCCAUAUAUCCCCCUAAAAGUGCAAGUUGUUGAUGAUGGUCACUCAAACAAUUGGACAGGACAAAGGAUUUUUACUUUUGUCUUUAUUAAUUUCAUCAUCACAAUAACACCGGUGUACAUACCAUGUAUGGCCUUCCAUUUACGGAUGUAAGUGUUUAACUCACGAUGUUCUCGUCCAUCAAAAUUUGUAUCUUCGCUGUUUAGAUUGAGAAGUUCACUUUUACUUUCUACUAAGUCCUCGAGUUGCACGAAAUAUUGGAUACAUUGCUUUAUACAUUCAUUAUGGGAUAUGCUCAGUUAUUGUGCUUUGAUUGAUACUGUAAAGGAGAGAAAAGGGUACAUGUGGCGUUAAUAUUUUUCUUUUGGGGGGUGAGGGGGUUUCGCAAUUAUGAUCAAGGUAGUUGGGAAGUUGUUGGUGGUGGCUGGAGGAAAGAUCGCAGUGGCUAUUUGUUGUGUGUCGGUGCCAAAUUGAUGCGUAAAUUCCCGAAAGAAAUAUAUACAAUAGACACAAUUCCCAUAAUCAUCAUCAUGAAAUUUGUCGGAGCCAGUUUCAUGGAAUUUUGCACUGUUGCGGAAACCCAUAUAGCCAUCUGCCUUCCAAUGAUGGGAGGAGGGAGUGUGUCACUAGUAAGGUAGCAGUUGCCUACAGACCAAUGAUGGGAACCAAUGGUCGCCGAUCACUUGUAUGAUUCAUGAGGGGGGUCAAUUAUCCAAGGAUGAGCACCCUCUGGGCGCUCGUUGUGGGUAAUAUCUCCCACAACUCCUUGAGGACAUACCCCAGUUUAAUGCGGGGUAAAAGAGACAUUCAUGGCGUCGACGAUGCCUCAGUCAUGGCAACACCCUACCUCCUCCCAUCCUCAUAUAAAUAUCGCACAAUUGGACCCUUAACCCUGUGCCACCUCCAAAAUCUAGUCGUCGCCCCCAAUUCUCCAUCUUCCAUCCGUCGUCGCCGAAGAUUCCCCACCAACCAUUGAUGAGUGGAUUUACACACAUUUUUACCCUCAUUUAAACUGAAUAUUCUUAUGAGUUUAUCACUUCAACAUGCCCGAUAUCACACUGAUAAUUGCAAAGAUGCGCAAAUCUCCUUGAUUAUUCUAUUCUUGCGGACAUAAAAAUAUGUAGGUGAAAAUCAAAGCAUAGAUGGAAUGUACUCGAGCAGAGGAUCGAUUCCAUACAAAAUUGGGCUUCAACGGAGCUCAAAAAGGAGAAGACAACCAACAUUAUAAGCGCAAGUGCUCGUAACAGCAGUCGUGGACAAGGAGGUUUCGUGAAGUGGCACAAGCCAAAUUCGCAAUGAAGUGUCCCCUAAAGCAUUAUCCACCCAUUUGCACUAUGUAAAGGAGAAGGAUGACUCCUAUAGAGCUAUCUCUCCCAAUAUAAUUCUCAUUUCCAUCCUUGUCGCCAUAGCCGCCAUCUCCACACUCCAUUAGAUUGAUACUUGCAAUCAAGAUUUCAUCACAAUCAGCGACAUCGUAAAACAGUCAAGCAUUCAUCUUCAAGUGACCUUCAUAUAGUGUCACAUGUUUGUAAUUUAACUGCGAGGUAUGAUUAAUCCCCUGAGACUAAGGGUCGAGGUCUGAUACGUCUCAAACGUAUCUAUAGUUUUUAUUGUUACAUGCUAGUAUUAUAUUAUCAUUCCUAAAUAUUUUUACUAUCAUUUGUAACAUUUUGUAUUAUUAUUUUUGGAUUAACUUAUUAAUUAGUGCCCAGUGUCAAUUCAUGUUUUUGGUUCCACAAAAAAACACAAGUAUGAUGCUGACAACACAUGAUAGACAUGGCUCUCUAAUUGUAUCACUAAGCCACUUGUAUAUGAUCUUGCAUGGGCGGAGCCAAUAAAGUACGCAUCCCCACUCCGGUUACCGCGUACACUCGUGCCCCCAUCGUGCUUCCCCACUCCGGUUAUCACAACGAUGAUUAAGGGGAGUGAACUCCCCGCGGUAAUAACAUUAAGUUCUAGGGUUCUCCAUUAAUCCCUACUGCAAUGAUCAGGGGCGAAGCGAGAAUAGGUCAUGCCACUACCUACCCUCCACAACUACCCGUCUCACCAACAUAAAUCACAUCAAGUCCAUAAGUGGCUAAUGAUGUGUGAGCGCUCUUCACAACACCAUGAGACAAUCAAUGCAAUACAUAUAAAGAGAAUAUUGGAUCACUUAUUCAACAAAAUACUAAUCAUGCAAGGGUUCAUCCAAUUCCUUAAGAACUAACAGAACUACUCAAACAUCAUAGAGGUAGAGGGCAAAUUACAAACCAACGUGAGGCCGUUGGAGGAGAGGGGAAUGGCGGCACCGGUGGUGGUUGAGGGAGUCCUGGAUUAGGGGGUCCUCGGACAGCCGGACUAUAUCCUUUGGCCGGACUGUUGGACUGUGAAGAUACAAGAUUGAAGACUCCGUCCCGUGUCCGGAUGGGACUCUCCUUGGCGUGGAAGGCAAGCUUGGCAAUACGGAUAUGUAGAUCUCCUCCCUUGUAACCGACUCUGUGUAACCCUAGCCCCCUCCGGUAUCUAUAUAAACCAGAGGGUUUAGUCCGUAGGACAAGAAGAACAACAAUCAUACCAUAGGCUAGCUUUUAGGGUUUAGCCUCUACGAUCUCGUGGUAGAUCAACUCUUGUAAUACUCAUAUCAUCAAGAUCAAUCAAGCAGGAAGUAGGGUAUUACCUCCAUCGAGAGGGCCCGAACCUGGGUAAACAUCGUGUCCCCCGCCUCCUGUUACCAUCCGCCUUAGACGCACAGUUCGGGACCCCCUACCCGAGAUCCGCCAGUUUUGACACCGACAUUGGUGCUUUCAUUGAGAGUUCCACUGUGCCGUCACCGUAAGGCUUGAUGGCUCCUUCUAUCAUCGGCGACGAUGCGAUCCGGGGCGAGGUUUUCCUCCCCGGACAGAUCUUCGUAUUCGGCGGCUUCGUACCGCGGGCCAACUCGCAUGGCCAUCUGGAGCAGAUCGAAAGCUACGCCCCUGGCCACCAGGUCAGGUUUGGAAGCUUAAACUACACCGCCGACAUCCGCGGAGACUUGAUCUUCGACGGAUUCGAGCCCAUGACAGGUGCGCCGCACGGUCACGACAAGCAUGACUUAACUCUGCCGCCGGACGGUGUUCGGGAGAUCGCACCUGUGGCUACUCCGGCUUUCAAUCCGGAACGGAUUGCGCCGUCCGAGGACGGGUGGAUGGACCCCGCCACGGAGGCCGCACACUCAACGACGAUAGAGCCGAAUACUGACUUCACCUCCUAUGAGACCCGUGUGGCCGGAUCCUUGGAUUCGUCCCCGGCCACGGGCUCCGAACCGCCUGCGUCCGUGCCUGUCGAAUCGGAUUGGGCACCGAUCAGGGAGUUUUCCUCCGCGGAUAUCUUUCAGCACUCGCCACUGGGCGACGUGCUAAAUUCGUUAAGGUCUUUCUCCUUGUCUGGAGGAUCCUGGCCGAACUAUGUCCGGCUCGAGUGGGAAGCAGACGACGAGGAAAUUCGUUCCCCACCCACCACCCACUAAAUAGCCACUGUCGACGACUUAACCGACAUGCUCGAUUUCGGCUCCGAAGAAAUCGACGAUAUAGACGACGAUAGAGGAGACGAACAGGAACCACCGCCCACAGGGCGCUGGACUGCCACCUCAUCAUAUGAUGUAUACAUGGUGGACACUCCCAAAGAAGGCGAUGGCGACAAGGCAACGGAGGAUAAUCCCUCCAAGAAGCAAUUCAAGAGCCGGCGUCAGCGGCGCCGCUCUAAGUCCCGCCAUAGCAAAAGUAGCGAUACCGGCACAAGAGACAAUAACGCUCCGGAUAGUGCCGAAGACGACGACAAUCCCCUCCAGCCAGACCUCGAGCGGGAGGAUGAACAAGCUAGCCCUCCGGAACAGGAAGCAGACGGAGAAUCAGAGGAUGACAAUUACAUGCCUCUCUCCGAAGACGAGAUGAGCCUCGACGACGAAGAAUUAAUCGCACCUGAGGAUCCUGUCGAGCAGGAGCGCUUCAAGCGCCGGCUUAUAGCCACAGCAAAAAGCCUGAAGAAAAAGCAGCAGCAGCUUCAAGCUGAUCAGGAUCUGCUAGCGGACAGAUGGACCGAAGUCCUGGCGGCCGAGGAAUACGAACUCGAGCGCCCAACCAAAAGUUACCCAAAGCGCAGGUUGCUACCCCAACUUGAGGAGGAAGCACUGAAGCCUGCACUACCAGCGUACGAUGCGGGUGACCGGCCACCUCGCGGCUGAGACAAAGCGGCGUAUCAGCCCGAAGUUCAGCCCGCACCCCGUUGCCAGUCAAACAAAAACACCAAGGCCCGGGGCAAUACGCAGGACCUGCGAGACGUAUUGAAAAACAAAGCAGGACAUACAAGAUCGAUCUACGGAUCACGGGGGCGCGCCCCAACACGUGACAAUGAUCUUCACGCCGGAUACACUAAAAACAAAUCCGGCCGGGCCGAAUACAGCAGACAAGACUCGUAUGAACUGCGUCGCGACAUAGCCCGGCCCAGAGGCGCCGCACACCCCCUAUGCUUCACCGAUGAAGUAAUGGAUUAUGAAUUCCCAGAAGGAUUCAAACCCGUGAACAUUGAGUCAUAUGAUGGCACAACUGACCCCGCGGUAUGGAUCGAGGAUUUCCUCCUCCACAUUCACAUGGCCCGCGGGGACGAUCUACAUGCCAUCAAGUACCUCCCACUAAAACUCAAAGGACCAGCUCGACAUUGGCUGAAUAGCCUGCCAGCAGAUUCCAUCGGCAGUUGGGAGAAUCUGGAAGACGCAUUCCUUGACAACUUCCAGGGCACUUACGUGCGACCACCAGAUGCUGACGACUUCAGCCAUAUAACUCAGCAGCCAGGGGAAUCGGCCAGGAAAUUCUGGACUCGGUUCCUAACUAAAAAGAACCAAAUUGUCGACUGUCCGGAUGCUGAGGCCUUAGCGGCAUUCAAGCUUAACAUCCGUGACGAGUGGCUCGCCCGACACCUCGGCCAAGAGAAGCCAAAGUCCAUGGCAGCCCUCACGACACUCAUGACCCACUUUUGUGCGGGCGAAGACAGCUGGCUGGCUCGCAGCAAUAGCACAUCAAGAAAUACUAGCAAUUCAGAUGCCAAAGAUAGCAACGGCAGACCACGCCGCAGCAAACACAAGCGCCGCAACAACGGCGACAACGCCGAGGACACGGCAGUCAAUGCCGGAUUCAGUGGCUCGAAAUCCGGUCAGCGGAAGAAGCCAUUCAAAAGAAGCAAUCCGGGCCCGUCCAGUUUGGACCACAUACCCGAUCGCUCGUGCCAAAUUCACGUCACCCCCGAUAAGCCAGCCGAUCACACCAACAGAGAAUGCUGGGUGUUCAAGCAGGCCGGCAAGUUGAAUGCCGAAAACAAGGAAAAGGGGCUGCAUAGCGACGAAGAAGAGGAGCCCCGGCCGCUGAACACAGGAGGACAGAAGAAAUUUCCUCCCCAAGUGAAAACAGUAAACAUGAUAUACGCAACCCAUAUUCCCAAGAGGGAACGGAAGCGUGCACUAAGGGACGUCUAUGCAAUGGAGCCAGUCGCCCCAAAGUUCAACCCAUGGUCUUCUUGUCCGAUCACCUUCGAUCGCAGGGACCACCCCACAAGUAUCCGUCAUGGCGGUUCUACCGCAUUGGUCCUUGACCCCAUCAUUGAUGGAUUUCACCUCACCCGAGUCCUUAUGGACGGUGGCAGCAGCCUGAACCUGCUUUAUCAGGAUACAGUGCGCAAAAUGGGUAUAGACCCUUCGAGGAUCAAACCCACUAAAACCACCUUUAAAGGUGUCAUCCCAGAUGUAGAGGCCUGUUGCACGGGCUCAAUCACACUGGAAGUGGUCUUCGGAUCUCCGGAUAACUUCCGAAGCGAGGAGUUAAUCUUCGAUAUCGUCCCGUUCUGGAGUGUCUAUCACACACUGCUCGUACGAACCGCAUUUGCCAAAUUCAAUGCGGUACCGCAUUAUGCAUACCUCAAGCUCAAAAUGCCAGGACCUCGGGGGGUUAUAACAGUCAAUGGAAACACAGAACGCUCGCUCCGCACGGAGGAGCACACUGCGGCCCUCGCAGCAGAGGCACAAAGCAGCCUUUUAAGGCAAACUGCCAAUUCGGCGAUAAAGCCCCCGGACACCUUCAAGCGAGUCCGGAGUAACCUGCAACAGGAUCGCCUGGCACGUUCAGAGCUCGCCUAGCAAUUCGGCCUCCGUCCUAGUCCCAGUCAAGCGACGAAAUCUGUGCCGCGCGUACAUAAUUACGCACUAAAAAUACCAUGGGCAUAGGCGGAGGCACGGCCAGGACAUGUCCCACAAUGCGGCUCAACCGCCCUAGGGUGUGGCACCCCGGCUCAGAGCAACCGGUUUACCAUGCAUUGCCAGCCCAGAGACCAUGUCUUCUGGAAAACACACAACAUCUUGGUACAAAAAACAACCGCUUUAUUGAUGCUAGCAGAACAGAGUUUAUAUUACAACAGUUGUCGAGGCCAAGCGGCACACCCGGUGCGGCUGAACAAUAUGUACAUUAUUUAGUGAACAUAAAGGGGCCUCGAUCAGAACAACUACGUGGCAGCGGAAUAACGUCGUAGCGGAAGCUCCAUAUCACAGGGACACCAAUGUGGACACGAUCUAGACUUGAGCAGCGCUCCUCUCCAACGAGACUUUCCUGAAAUCUGGCAUGACACGCCAGGUCAGUACAUUGAAUGCACUUGCAAGCUCACAACAGGCAUAAUCAUAAUGGCAAACAAUAUCAUGAUACUUAACCAAUUAUUAAUAAUGCAACACUAUAUGUCAAACAUGCUGUGAUCAUGCUCGAACGUCCCUCGGGACAACUUACCCACCGUGAUCAUUCUCGGAUCACAAACAAGCCACCAACGUGGUCUUAACAAGAGUAACUCAUGAUCCUUACGGCGAUCACAACCACGACCAAUAUCUGGUCCCGAAUAUCUCGAUGGCCUUUCUGCCAUCCUCAACAAUGCAAAGUUCAUAGCUUAGUUGCACAUUUUAUUAAACGUUGACUCAUGGUGGGACCUACUACAAGGUGUCCGUGACCGUGGACUCGGCUAUCGAUAGAUUAUACACUCUGCAGAGGUAGCACACUGUACCCACACCACGGAACCCAUGGCCUCGCACUCCCAUUCGGGUGGACCAACGACAUUCCGACGAAACCCUUCCAUUGCCAUGACACUCUCCCGGCCACUCCGACCCAAUCCCCAACAGGCUAGUCCUGGGUGGCCCUGUGUCUACCAAAGACACACCGACCACCGUCGUGGCCAAAACGAUCCCACUCGGGGACCCAGUACCAUAAUCUCAACAACGGGCACACAAGGUUAUGCCUGCUUAUCGGGCCAGGGUAAGCACGAUGUAACCUUCCCUAGUUGGAGGCACCGACCAGAGGCAAUGUCAAUGGACCAAAUCAAGGCCUUCCCACAAAGGCAAAUGUGGUUGCAUUGGGAAAAACUCGAUUCAGCGGCACCAUGACCCAGUCAAUGGUAUAUUCAAGUUGAGUUAUAUUCAGGUUCAACUUAAAAUGAAAAUGACCGGUGUCAUAGCAUGCCAUGAAAUGCAAAACUACACAUUCAUCACUUAAUAACGAAAAUGACCGAUGUCAUCCAUAUUCACACUAAGCAUAAACAUCAACAACUCAUAUUACUUUGCUGAUCAAGAUAACUCACAUAUUAACCAAAAUAUUUUGCAGCAAGUUUUCUUAUUUUCUCAUGCAAGAACGUAACUCCGAUUAAUUUCUCAUAUGAAUAACAAAGAUUUUACCACACACAAAUCCUAAUUUCUUUACCAACCAAGUGAGGUUCAAACAUUUUGUAAGUCAAGUAAAAUGACUAAACAAGUACUUAACAGAAUAUUUUCUAGCAAUUUUUUAUCAUUUUAUUUAUGCAAGAACAUAACUUUAAAUAAUUAAUAACAUGCAUAACAAAAUUUAUUUCUAUCAUCACCACAAAUAGAUCCUAGCUUUGCUUCACCAACUAAGCUAGUUUCCACAUUCUGUAAAUCAAGCAUAUUAACUAGCAAACACUUACCAGAAUAUAAAUAACACAAUAUUUAUUUAAAUGCAUGGAUUAGUCAUUUCAUUCAAGUAAGAAAAUCAUAAAUAUUGAAAUGACACCAUGAAAAUGUUGUCGUGGCUUGCCUUAGUGCAGAUGAGGUUCACAAGCCUUCUGGUGAUCCUCAAGACAAGCCUCACCCUCUGAAAAUAAUUUUAAACACAAAAAGAAAAUAUCAAGAACACUUCUGAAAAUCACCAGAAAUUCUAAACAGCUCAGAAAAAUCUCAUCUUUGGUGAGCUGCUAGAUUUCUUUGCAAAGAACAAGAUGCAAAAAGAAUCAAUUCAUUUGGAUUUAUGGUUGAGGAGUUAUGGCUGUUUGAAGUGUUCUGUAAAUUCAAAUGAAUUUGAAUAAAAUUAAGUAGGCUGGGGGGGUGACGUCGAAGGCGUAAAGCUCAGGGGCGCCACCACUCGUACCGCUUCACGCGCGUACAGAGUGGCUGACUAGCGGGCCCCGCUAGUCAGGUUAGGAGGAGGGGGAGAAGGAAACAGAGGGAGUCGCAGCUCCGUCGGAGCUCUCUUCGGCGACGAGGACUCCUUAGCCAAAAUGAGAGGGAGGGAUGGCAAGAGGGGGUUGAGGCGCACCUGCCCGUACCCGUAGCGUAGCUGGGGGCGGUCGGAAAGCGUUGGAAUCAACCACGCAAGCGGAGGCAGAACACGGUGGUCGCCGGAGAUGAAGAAGACGGCGAGCAGAGGCAACUCCACUGGCUCCAGAGGGGCGGAACGGCUUCACUGGAGAGGGGCGGAGGCCCUGGAAGGGUCGCCCUGGCCUGGGAGGGGCUGGAGCUACCGCGGCGACCAGAGGGGAUCGCCGGCGAGCUCGAGCUCGGGGACGGCGGCCCGAGGCCUGCCCGGCCGGGCUACGGCUUCCUACUCGCUUGUGGGGGGUAUGGGAGUGCUGGAUGGUGCUCGAGGAGGCUGGGGGCGGCUCCAUUUAUAGGCGAGUGGCGAGGGGGUUUCGGGCUCCGCCGGUGGACACCUGUCCACGGCGCCCGGCGACGAGCGGCGUUAGUGAGAGGGGAAGAAAGCGACGCAGCUCACGCGGCAACUGUUGGCAGACGGAGACGAGCACAGGAACGAGGAGAAGGCGACGAGCACAGUGCGCACCGCACUGUUGGGUUGGCCGGACCAUGCCCGUGCUCGCCGCGGCGAGCUCCGGCAUCGGCGAGCGCCAGAGGGGAGUUAAGGGAGUUGAGACGAAGAUGGUGGCGAAGUUUGGUGCGCUACGGCAGCCGGGGAAGCGAGCACACGCGAAACAGAGCGCUCGGCGGCACUCAGAGCGCGUCGACACGCAUGCCAGCACCCCUGGACGAACGCGGUCACCGCGUGGACUAUGACAUCAGGCCGAGCUAAGCCUAAACUUCAUGUCUGGCAUGUUGUUCGUGGUAGUUUGAGAUGUUACCACACUUUGGUUUGGAUCCAGGUGCAGUAGAGAAGUUUUUACACGCCAGGUAAGUUUCUGGUCAGUAACUUUGAGAGGUUACUGAGGUCAAAUGGCUGGGGGUUAGAGGCUGUGCUUUGGAGGUUAGCCAAGAGUUACUAAGGUGAAAAUGCACAAGAAAACCCAGGCACAAUGGAGCAAGUAAAAUGGUAGUUGCUGUAGAAACCACCAUUUCUGUCCAGAACAGAAAAUAUUUUCUAUAGCAAAAAUAUUCCAAAAAGUGAUGAAAUAUUUUCACUCAGGAAGGUGCCCUAGGGUUCAAAGAAUAUUUGUGAAUUAUCUCAGAAUUUUGUAGGCCAUAAAAAUUAGGGUUGCCUUGGAGCAUACUGAUCUGGCUAGGGUUUUUGAGAGAAAAUGAUUAUUUUUCUUUUAAGAAAAAUAUUCCAAAGAUUAUUUUGGGAUGGAUCAGAAGGGGAAUGAUGAUCAGAGAGGGAAAUGGAGCACUUGGGUGAAAGCCAAGAGUACCCAAGUGUUUAAGUCCAUAUGAAAAGAUUCAAAAACUCCAAGUUUCAAAUUUAAUCCAAAUAAAAAUCAAGCAAAUGAGAGAGGGCAAAAAUCAGGCUGUCACAAACCUCCCCCACUUAGAAUGAAUCUCGUCCUCAAGAUUCGGUUGCUUGGGAAAACCACUCUGGAUAAUGUGACUGUGGAAAUUCUUCCCGCUCCCAAGUUGAUUCUGACUCUGUGUGAUGCUCCCACUGAACUUUGUAAAAUUUCCUUACUUUACUGCGAGUGACCCUUUCCAUCUGAUCCAAAAUUCUGAACGGUCUCUCGUCAUAAGUUAAAUCAUUUGCCAACUCUACCUCAGCCAUAGCAGUCCUUUUCUCAGGCGGGGAUAUGCAUCGUCUCAAUCAUGAUACAUGAAACACAUUGUGCACGUCCGCCAACUCAGCGGGUAGUUCUAAUUGAUACGCAACAGUACCUACUCGAGACAUAACUGGGAAUGGACCGAUAAAUCUGGGGGCCAACUUUCCACGAGUCUGAAAUCUCUUGACUCCUUUCAUAGGAGUGACUCAGAGGUAUACGUCCUCUCCGGGUUCAAAACUUAUCUGUCGGUGCUUUGCAUCAUAAUAACUUUUCUGUCGAGAUUUGGCUAAUUGCAAUCUGUCUCUGAUUUCCUUAACUUGUUUCUCAGCUUCCAUCAUGAGAUCUGUUCCGAAGAUACGGCUAUCUCCAGUUUGAGACCAAUUUAAAGGAGUGCGGCACUUACGGCCAUACAGAGCUUCAUAUGGUGACAUUUUCAGACUGGUCUGGAAGGUGUUCUUAUAGGAAAACUCGGCAUAUGGCAAAUAGUCUUCCCAUUUGGGUCCUUGGGCUAAAGCACAGGCUCGCAACAUAUCUUUGAGUAUUUGAUUUACCCUUUCUGUCUGUCCAUCCGUGUGAGGAUGAUAAGCAGUACUAUAUUUCAGUGCUGUCCCCAAGGCUUGAUGGAGGCGUGACCAAAAAGCGGAGGUAAAUAGGGAACCUCGGUCGGAAGUGAUAGUUCGGGGUACUCCAUGCAGACUGACUAUUCUGGAUACAUACAGCUGUGCAAGUUGAUCUGCCCUGUAUCUGGUGCUGAUUGGAAUGAAGUGAGCGACCUUGGUUAGGGUGUCCACUAUAACCCAGAUUGCAUCAUUGCCUCGCUGAGUCUUAGGCAAUCCCGUAAUGAAAUCCAUACAAAUGUCAUCCCAUUUCCAUUGUGAAACCGGCAGCGGUUGGAGUUCGGCUGGCUUCUGAUGCUCUGCCUUCACCUUGUUGCAUAUGUCGCAACAGGCUACAAAAUAGGCAAUGUCUUUCUUCAUUCCAUCCCACCAGAAUAUUUGUCUAAGGUCCUCAUACAUUUUCGUACCUCCCGGGUGAAUGGAAUAUGAGGAUUCGUGUGCUUCUGAUAGAAUUUUCUUCCUUAAAUCCGGUUGAUUGGGUACACAAAUCCGUCCACGGAAUCGUAGGGUGCCGAAUUUGUCCUUGAAGAAAUCUGGGGUCUGUUCUGCCAUCUGGCCCUGGGCACGUCUUUGCAGCUCGGUGUCAGCUGGCUGGGCCUUGCGGAUCUCUAUCUCAAGUGUGGGUGUAACUUCCAAAAUAUUAGCAAGGCCAGCAUCCACUAUGACCAAGUUGAGCUGAGCGAUCUCCUCUUGGAGUUCGGGCAGCAAGGAUUUCAAUAUGACAUUUAAGCUGACGGGCUUUCGACUGAGUGCAUCGGCAACUACGUUGGCCUUGCCCGGGUGGUAAUUUAUUCGAAGGUCAUAAUCCUUGACCAACUCUAGCCAUCUUCGCCGACGAAGGUUUAAAUCUGGCUGAGUGAAGAUGUAUUUGAGACUCUUGUGGUCGGUAAAAAUUUGGCACCGUUUUCCAAUGAGGUAGUGUCUCCAAAUUUUUAAUGCAUGAACCACCGCAGCCAAUUCCAAAUCAUGAGUAGGAUAAUUUCCCUCAUGGGGUCGUAGCUGUCGCGAUGCAUAUGCUACUACCUUGUUGUCUUGCAUAAGUACGCAACCAAUACCUUGCCUGGAGGCGUCACAAUACACAUCAAAACUGCGAUAAAUGUCUUGAAGAGUCAAUACAGGUGCGGUUGUCAGACGUAUCUUUAACUCAUUAAAACUUUUCUCACAGUCCUCCAUCCAUUCAAACUUCUUAUCCUUUUUAGCAGCUCCGUCAUGGGUUUAGCAAUCUUGGAAAACCCUUCAAUAAAACGACGGUAAUAUCCAGCCAAUCCGAGAAAACUACGGAUCUGCAUCACAGUCGUGGGCGGCAUCCAAUCGAGCACAUCCUUUACUUUGCUCGGGUCCACGGCUAUACCUUCGGCGGAUAGUACAUGUCCGAGAAACCCAACUUGCUUGAGCCAAAAUUCGCAUUUACUGAAUUUGGCGUAUAGCCGAUGGUCGCGGAGUUGUUGUAGCACUGCUCGGAGGUGAUCCUUGUGCUCUUCUUCACCCUUGGAGUAAAUGAGGAUGUCAUCGAUGAAGACUACCAUGAAUUUUUCGAGGAAGUCCAUGAAUACUUUGUUCAUCAUAUGCAUGAAGAAAGCAGGGGCAUUGGUGAGACCAAAGGACAUCACGGUAUAUUCGUAAAGACCGUACCGAGUAGUGAAUGCGGUCUUAGGAAUAUCCUCCUUUUUAAUCUUGAGCUGAUGAUAUCCGGUCCGUAAAUCGAUCUUAGAGAAUACUUUAGCCCCACUGAGCUGAUCAAACAGAUCAUCAAUCCUUGGCAGCGGAUAUUUAUUUUUGAUAGUGACCUCAUUCAGCUGGCGGUAAUCUACGCACAUACGGAGACUGCCAUCCUUUUUGUCCACGAAAAUAGCAGGUGAUCCCCAUGGUGAAGAGCUGGGACGAAUAUAUCCUUUCUGGAGCAAUUCAUCAAGCUGUUUCUUUAGCUCCACUAAUUCUGAUGAGGGCAUCCGGUAAUACUUCUUGUAUAAUGGUGCAGUCCCGGGCACAAGAUCUAUUGCAAAUUCCAGUUCCCGAUCUGGUGGCAUGCCUGGAAGUUCUUCUGGAAAUACAUCAGGGUACUCACUGACCACAUGAAUAAAUUCCAAUUUAGCCACAGCGGUGCAAACCAAUUCUUGCUUGGGUAUAUUCUUGCGAGCGUAGAAUUUGAUAGUCUGCCCAUUCAGACUGGUCAAAGUGACUUCUUGGGUUGCGCAGUUUAUGCAAACUUGAUAUUUGGUCAACCAAUUCAUACCCAAUAUAAUAUCCAACUUUUCAGACUCAAUGAUUAUCAGAGAGGUUGGAAAGUAGACUCCGUUGAUAUUGAUUUCCAGAUCACGGCAGGCCAGAUUGCUCUUGAUUAUAGAUCCUGGGGUUUGUACCAGCAUAUUUUUUCCCAAAAGCGUGCAAGGAAAGUUUUUUUGGGCAGCAAAACUCCGAGAAAUAAAAGAAUGGGAAGCCCCAGAGUCAAAUAAAAUUACGGCAGGUAUGUCAUUAACAGAAAACAUACCAAUGACGACUUCUGGCUUCUCUUGGGCUUCAUCGGCGGAGAUAUGAUGCACGUGCCCAGUGAAGUUUUGCUGGAUUGGCCAUGACUCCAUAAAGUUGACUUGUGGCCUGAUUAGGGCAUUCGCCUUGUUGUUCUUGGGGCACUAUCUGGCAUAAUGUCCGUUCUGUCCACAAUUAAAGCAAGAAUUAUUGCGCUGACGCUCUUCAUGUAUUGGGUUGGUCAUGACAUUCUUGACUUGAGUGGUGGUCUUGUUAACAUUCUGCUGCCAAUUUGGCUUGUAUUCCACCUGAGUCUGCUGCCAGGUAUGAGCCUUUUGCACUGGUUGCCCAUCCUUCUUUGGCUCAAACUUACGCUUGUUGUCGUUGUUAACAGGCCUAUUAUCUGCUAUAAGCUUGUGCUCUCGUUCAGCAAUGAAAGCCUUGUUCACCAGAGUUUGGAAAUCUAGGAAAUCAAGCAUACUAAGAGUACACCGGAGUUGCGGAUUUAGGCCUCCAAGAAAUCUGUCAAUCUUCCUUUCUUCGGUGGCCACGUCAUAAAGAGAGUAACGGGCCAGAUGAUUGAAUUUUUGCAAAUAUUCAGUCACAGACUGAUUUCCUUGGAUGAGUGCGAGAAAUUCACGCUGCUUGGUCUUCAUAACUCCAGUAGGGAUAUGAUAUUUUCGGAACUGAUCCUUAAACUUUUCCCAGGUGAUUUCCUCAUCAACCGGUCACAUGGCUUUUGUAUUUUCCCACCAUAUGGCAGCUGCGCCUUCAAGGUAAUGAGUUGCAAAUGGAACUUUAUCAUUUUCUUCAGUACGAGCAAUCUCAAGAUUUUUCUCAAUGGUGCGCAACCAAUCGUCUGCAUCCAAUGGGUCAACAAUCUGACUGAAGCUGGGUGGCUUGGUCCUCUGAAAAUCUGACAGCUUUGAGUGAUGACCGUUCUGAUUUCCAUUCGGUCCAACCAUAGCUUGCACACUUCUUAAUAUUUCAAUCAGAUCAUUGUUCCUUCUUUUCUCAAACAUACACAGAAUUUGCUCGGUGGAGGGCGGAUUAGGCGGUGGAGGUGGUGGCGGAACGUACGGCUUGGGAGAAUGUCCUGCCUGUCGUGCGGAACGACGAACAGGAGUUCCCUCACGAAUGUUGCUACUGCUGCCUCCCCGCGUCAUCCUAUUGUGGAUUUUGCCCAAGACAACGCAAUCGAGAUGAGAAAUACCCAAGAAUAAAAUUGGGGAAAAGCCAGCAACAAAUCCCGGAAGAAAACAAAAGAGCAAAGAAAAUACGGCGAAUAAUGUCCCAACAUAAUUAUACACAGACUCAUACAUGAAAGAUAAACAACAUGCCAGGUUCAACUACUCUCAUACAUGCAACGAAACAUCAUGACUCGUACGACUACAUUCGUACAUCAUCCGGACGACUGCAAAUACUCAAAGAUACUACUACUCCGCUGGUGCUGCAGUGUCCUCCCCUGAAGCGGUCUCGGAUCCUGAACUGACGUGGUUAACGGAAACCUCCGGGUUAAAGGUAACACGACGGCGCUGCCUCGAGGGCUCUCCCUCAGGGGCAGGGGUAGGAUGAAGCAUCGGGGCUACAGGAGUAGCGAGAAGUGAAACCCACUCGGCAGGAGUACUGAGAGGAUUCACGGCCGAGACGCCCGUGCUACUCGGAGGAGUAACUGGCGAAAUAGGGGAGCUAGAACUGGCUGGAAUAUAAUGGGUAAAUCCCAGAGAAGAUGGAGUAGUGGCAGAUCUAGUAGUGACUAAAGCAGCGGCUAAAGCAGUACGGGCACGAGUCAGCUCUCGAGCCAGCUCGUGGAUCAUCAGAUAGCUAGCAGUGACAUAACGAGCAAGGUGGCUAGCAACGCUAUCAGACUCCGGAUCAAUGAUAGGGAAACGGACACGACCGUUGUCGUGCAGAGAUGGGUAGUAAUAGAAACCUGGGUGGUUCUGCAUUCGGACCUCGUUGUAGCGAAGCUCGACAAGGACCUCGAAUGCAGCAAACUGGACAGCCUGAGAAGCGGUGGAGGCGUAUCCGCUCCGAGAAGUACGAGUGUAAGAGCUGGAAUCGGAACUAGUGCGCAGAGUGACCACUGCGUGAUACUCAUACACUGAGUCAGCUAGAUGCUCCCGAUACACACGAUAGACUGGGUCGUCUCCGAGAGGGUACAUCCGACGCCACACGUUGCGAAGGAGGUGCGGUGACAUGUACGGCAUCAGCUGCAACUGGCAUGGAUACGGCACCGGAGCCAUCUACACCCACAACCAUUAGCAGGUUAGCAUAAAUUUUUUAAGCCAAAUGCAUGCAAUGCAACAACCAGCAAAAAUUACUACCGGCACUCAACUUAAACUCGUAUCUAACAUCCAGUUAACACGUCGUAGUCUAGCAUGGCCUACAGUCAGCGCGGCUCUGAUACCAAGCGUUGUGGCAUCCCGGCUCAGAGCGACCGGUUUACCAUGCAUUGCCAGCCCAGAGACCAUGUCUUCUGGCAACACACACCAUCUUGGAACAGAAAACAACCGCUUUAUUGAUGCUAGCGGAACAGAGUUUAUAUUACAACAGCUGUCGAGGCCAAGCGGCACACCCGGUGCGGCUGAACAAUAUGUACAUUAUUUAGUGAACAUAAAGGGGCCUCGAUCAGAACAACUACGUGGCAGCUGAAUAACGCCGUAGCGGAAGCUCCUUAUCACAGGGACACCGAUGUGGACACGAUCUAGACUUGAGCAGCGCUCCUCUCCAACGAGACUUUCCUGAAAUCUGGCAUGACACGCCAGGUCAGUACAUUGAAUGCACUUGCAAGCUCACAACAGGCAUAAUCAUAAUGGCAAAAAUAUCAUGAUACUUAACCAAUUAUUAAUAAUGCAACACUAUAUGUCAAACAUGCUGUGAUCAUGCUCAAAUGUCCCUCGGGACAACCUACCCGCCGUGAUCAUUCUUGGAUCACAAACAAGCCACCAACAUGGUCUUAACAAGAGUAACUCGUGAUCCUUACGACGAUCACAACCACGACCAAUAUCUGGUCCCGAAUAUCUCGAUGGCCUUUUUGCCAUCCUCAACAAUGCAAAGUUCAUAGCUUAGUGUGCACAUUUUAUUAAACGUUGACUCAUGGUGGGACCUACUACGAGGUGUCCGUGACCGUGGACUCGGCUAUCGAUAGAUUAUACACUCUGCAGAGGUAGCACACUGUACCCACACCACGGAACCCAUGGCCUCGCACUCCCAUUCGGGUGGACCAACGACAUUCCGACAAAACCCUUCCAUUGCCAUGACACUCUCCCGGCCACUCCGACCCAAUCCCCAACGGGCUAGUCCUGGGUGGCCCCGUGUCUACCAAAGACACACCGACCACCGUCAUGGCCAAAACGAUCCCACUCGGGGACCCGGUACCAUAAUCUCAAAACCGGGCACACAAGGUUAUGCCUGCUUACCGGGCCAGGGUAAGCACGACGUAACCUUCCCUAGUUGGAGGCACCGACCAGAGGCAAUGUCAAUGGACCGAAUCAAGGCCUUCCCACAAAGGCAAAUGUGGUUGCACUAGGAAAAACUCGAUUCAGCGGCACCAUGAACCAGUCAACGGUAUAUUCAAGUUGAGUUAUAUUCAGGUUCAACUUAAAAUGAAAAUGACCGGUGUCAUAGCAUGCCAUGAAAUGCAAAACUACACAUUCAUCACUUAAUAACGAAAAUGACCGAUGUCAUCCAUAUUCACACUAAGCAUAAACAUCAACAACUCAUAUUACUUUGCUGAUCAAGAUAACUCACAUAUUAACCAAAAUAUUUUGCAGCAAGUUUUAUUAUUUUCUCAUGCAAGAACGUAACUCCGAUUAAUUUCUCAUAUGAAUAACAAAGAUUUUACGACACACAAAUCCUAAUUUCUUUACCAACCAAGUGAGGUUCAAACAUUCUGUAAGUUAGGUAAAAUGACUAAACAAGUACUUAACAGAAUAUUUUCUAGCAAAUUUUUAUCAUUUUAUUUAUGCAAGAACAUAACUUUAAAUAAUUAAUAACAUGCAUAACAAAAUUUAUUUCUAUCAUCACCACAAAUAGAUCCUAGCUUUGCUUCACCAACUAAGCUAGUUUCCACAUUCUGUAAAUCAAGCAUAUUAACUAGCAAACACUUAACAGAAUAUAAAUAACACAAUAGUUAUUUAAAUGCAUGGAUUAAUCAUUUCAUUCAAGUAAGAAAAUCAUAAAUAUUGAAAUGACACCAUGAAAAUGUUGUUGUGGCUUGCCUUAGUGCAGAUGAGGUUCACAAGCCUUCUGGUGAUCCUCAAGACAAGCCUCACCCUUUGAAAAUAAUUUUAAACACAAAAAGAAAAUAUCAAGAACACUUCUGAAAAUCACUAGAAAUUCUAAACAGCUCAGAAAAAUCUCAUCUUUGGUGAGCUGCUAGAUUUCUUUGAAAAGAACAAGAUGCAAAAAGAAUCAAUUCAUUUGGAUUUAUGGUUGAGGAGUUAUGGCUGUUUGAAGUGUUCUGUAAAUUCAAAUGAAUUUGAAUAAAAUUAAGUAGGCUGGGGGGGUGACGUCGAAGGCGUAAAGCCCAGGGGCGCCACCACUCGUACCACUUCGCGCGCGUACAGAGUGGCUGACUAGCAGGCCCCGCUAGUCAGGUUAGGAGGAGGGGAAGAAGGAAACAGAGGGAGUCGCAGCUUUGCCAGAGCUCUCGCCGGCGACGAGGACUCCUUGGCCAAAAUGAGAGGGAGGGAUGGCAAGAGGGGGUUGAGGCGCACCUGCCCGUACCCGUAGCGUAGCUAGGGGCGGUCGGACGGUGUCGGAAUCAACCUCGCAAGCGGAGGCAGAACACGGUGGUCGCUGAAGAUGAAGAAGACAGCGAGCAGAGGCAACUCCAGGGGCUCCAGAGGGGCGGAACGGCUUCACUGGAGAGGGGCGGAGGCCCUGGAAGGGUCGCCCUGGCCUGGGAGGGGCUGGAGCUACCGCGGCGACCAAAGGGGAUCACUGGCGAGCUCGAGCUCGGGGACGGCGGCCCGAGGCCUGCCCGGCCGGGCUACGGCUUCCUACUCGCUUGUGGGGUGUGUGGGAGUGCUGGAUGGUGCUCGAGGAGGUUGGGGCGGCUCCAUUUAUAGGCGAGCAGCGAGGGAGUUUCAGGCUCCGCCGGUGGACACCUGUCCACGGUGCCCGGUGACGAGCGGCGUCAGUGAGAGGGGAAGAAAGCAACACAGCUCACGCGGCAACUAUUGGCGGACGGAGACGAGCACAGGAACGAGGAGAAGGCGACGAGCACAGUGCGCACCACACUGUUGGGUUGGCCGGACCGUGCCCGUGCUCGCUGCGGCGAGCUCCGGCAUCGGCGAGCGCCGGAGGGGAGUUAAGGGAGUUGAGACAAAGAUGGUGGCGAAGUUUGGCGCGCUACGGCAGUCAGGGAAGCGAGCACGCGCGAAACAGAGCGCUCGGCGGCACUCAGAGCGCGUCGACACACAUGCCAGCACCCCUGGAUGAACGCGGUCACCGCGUGGACUAUGACAUCAGGCCGAGCUAAGCUUAAACUUCAUGUCUGGCGUGUUGUCCGUGGUAGUUUGAGAUGUUACCAUGCUUUGGUUUGGAUCCAGGUGCAGUAGAGAAGUUUUUACACGCCAGGUAAGUUUGUGGUCAGUAACUUUGAGAGGUUAUUGAGGUCAAAUGGCUGGGGGUUAGAGGCUGUGCUUUGGAGGUUAGCCAAGAGUUACUAAGGUGAAAAUGCACAAGAAAACCCAGGCACAAUGGAGCAAGUAAAAUGGUAGUUGCUGUAGAAACCACCAUUUCUGUCCAGAACAGAAAAUAUUUUCUGUAGCAAAAAUAUUCCAAAAAGUGAUGAAAUAUUUUCGCUCAGGAAGGUGCCCUAGGGUUCAAAGAAUAUUUGUGAAUUAUCUCAGAUUUUCCCGGGCCAUAAAAAUUAGGGUUGCUUUGGAGCAUACUGAUCUGGCUAGGGUUUUUCAGAGAAAAUGAAUAUUUUUCUUAAAAGAAAAAUAUUCCAAAGAUUAUUUUGGGAUGGAUCAGAAGGGGAAUGAUGAUCAGAGAGGGAAAUGGAGCACUUGGGUGAAAGCCAAGAGUACCCAAGUGUUUAAGUCCAUAUGAAAAGAUUCAAAAACUCCAAGUUUCAAAUUUAAUCCAAAUAAAAAUCAGGCAAAUGAGAGAGGGCAAAAACCAGGCUGUCACACAGGGGCUGUAUACCCUUAUCAUUUUCUCUCUUUCAGGACCUUACUCGCUGGAAGCCCUUCUCGGAAGUCUGAUUGCCGGACGCAUUACGGGAAGGAAAUACCAAGGAAGCAAGAAGUUCUGACAUACAAGGGAAUCUUGAGGUGGUCUUUGAUAACGAUCGAAAUACCUAUUUUAAAUACCCAUACGCAGCUUGCCCUUGGAUAGGACAUGUCAAAUAGUCCUACUUUUUGCUUUUUGCACUACUUGUAUCCAUACGCCUCGACGUAUUACUUAAUAACAAUGCAUAGCGUCAGUCUACUAUUGCAUUACCCUUUCUUAUUUUCCUUGUCUGCUCAUUUACGACAAAUCGCACCCGUACAUUCUGGUACGACUAGCGCGCCAGGGGCUUCAGCGUACCCCAUAACAAGGCGUGAAAAGUCCGAACACUUUCGACAGUGCGGCACCCCGAACUUAUAGCAUUAUAUGCAUCAGCUCCGAAUCAUGUCUUGGGCCAACAGUUGGGUUUGCCCGGCUCCCAUGUUUUGGUACCUUACGUUCCACUAUAUCAGCUAACGUAUCACUGGGAGAACUACUGCGAUUGUGUCCCGGUUCUUUCGGACGAACACCUCAGUAGAGAAAGCCGAAAACUGACUGUCAUGAUAAGGCGAGAGUUGGUCGCUGUUCGAGAGGUCUCAAGUCCUUAAAGAUUUUUUCCGCUUCGGGUGAGGAGUCGGCCUUGUCCGAUUUAGGCGUAUAUAGCGCCCCAAUUCGGUCUUCCGAAUACUAGGGGCUUCGCCAAAAUUUAAAAUUGCAGACUUCUAUGGCUAAGUGAGAGUGAUAAAGCUUUAUAGUCCGAUUGCCUGGUUCGUUGUGCUGAACACCUCCUUCGAAGGACCCAAAAUUGGGAUAAAGAGUGCUUAGGUUUAUCCCGAACACCCCAGUACUAGUUACAUGGGGGCAGAAGCCGACGACUAGCCAACUCUCAGAUCUUAUAAACGGCCGCACAGAAGGUAAUAUUUUAAAUCAACAAAGCGUUAUAUAGCGCACAUGAACUCGUUUUCAUAUUACAGGAUCACAAGAGUAUAUUCAUUCAAAUAUUACAUCAUCCUUAGCACAUUCCCCCGCCACAAGGCGGGCACCCUUCAGGACACUAUCAUAAUACAUUUCGGGGUGGCGAUGCUCCUUGCCCUCCGGCGGCCCCUCCUUCACCAGCUUCUCGGCGUCCAUCUUCGCCCAGUGCACUUUCACACGGGCAAAGGCCCUGCACGCACCCUCAAUGUAGACGGACCACUUUAUGACUUCAAGCCGUGGGCACGCAUUCACAAGCCGCCUCACCAGACCGAAGUAGCUACCAGGCUGGGGCUUGCCAGGCCACAUCCGGACUAUGAGGCCCCUCAUAGCCAGUUCGGCCGCCUUGUGCAGCUCGACCAGUUGCUUCAACUGGUCGCUCAGGGGCACCGGAUGUUCGGUCCCAGUAUACUGAGACCAGAAUAGCUUCUCCGUCGAUCUCCCUUCCUCAGCCUGGUAGAACUCUGCGGCAUCCGAUACGCUACGGGGCAGAUCUGCGAACGCUCCUGGAGAGCUCUGAAUACGGGUAAGUAAAAGAAAAGUUUCCUUUGCAUGCUUGCUUUGCAUAAUGAAUGCCUUACCCGCCGCUAUCUUCUUCACCGCCUCAAUUUCCUGGAGGGCCUUAUGGGCUCCGGCUUGGCAUUCUAUGCGCUCUCGAGGGCCUUCUCAAGCUCGGACCCUUGCGUCUUAGAGUCACGCUCCAGGGACUCAUAUUUCUUGGCGAGAUGCCGGAGCUCUUGCUGCACCUCGCCACUUGGGCCUCUUAUUUCUCUCGCUCGAUGCGCUCCUUGGCCGCUUUGUCUUCGGCCUCGGAUAGCGCCUUCUGCAGGGCCGCCACUUUGGUCGUGGCCCCUAGCAAAAUUCAUGAUGAUCCUAUUACUCCAAAAUCAAAUUUUUUCUUUAUCAAUAUAUAGACGGGGCAUCACUUACCUUUGUCCUCUUCAAGCUGCCUCUUGGUAAGGCCGAGCUCUUCCUUGGACCGCUCAAGGUCCCGCUUCAGUGCGGCGACCUCCGCAGUACAUGCGGCAGCGGCCAGCAGUGAAGCCUGCACAUGCACAUAGACACAUUCCGAUUAGACUCCUGCGGUUAUUAUUAGAUCCUCUAUUCGGCCUUUCUUUGCGAACGCCAAACAAAGCAUCAGGGGCUACUGUCUAUGCGGUAACAUUCUCUUAUAAUCUGACUACUUACCUCAAAGCCUGUUAGGAGGCCGGCACAGGCUUCAGUCAGUACGCUUUUGGCGGACUGAACCCUCUUGAUUACCGCACUCAUAAUAGUGCGGUGCUCUUCGUCAAUGGAAGCGCCACGAAGCGCUUCCAGCAAGUUGUCCGGCGCCUCUGGAUGGAUAGAGGCCUUCGGCACGGAUGGCUUGCCCCUCUUAGUGAGGGGUCGCCUGACAGAGUCGGGAGCCACUGGAGGUUCCGGCGCAGUGUUCGGCUGGGGGGCAAACUUGCUGCCCCCGUCAUUAGAACCCAUGGGAGUCUUGCCCCCCAUGCGCCUAGAGUCCGGGAUGCCGCCUUGGCGCGCCUCCAGGACUAUCUCCCCUUGGAUCAAUACCCUUUUAGACAACACCUCGGCGUCAUCCGUAGGGUGGGGAGAGGUGGCUGUCGGGAGCGAAUCGCUGUUCAUCGCCGACGGGCCCAAAGACCCAUCCGAAGAGGAUACGUCGAUAUGGGCUUUGGGCGGACUGCACGAUCAUGUUUGACAUGAUAUAAGGAACAAUAAUACAAAACAUACCAACAUUAUUAUGGUAUCCGGAUACUUACGACUUCGCCAGGGGCUUGUCCCUGAGCAACCACUCCUCGUCGCUGUAAGCGGCUUUUGUGGAGUGGUCCGGAGGGAGGGUCCUUCCCUUUAUGGACCCUUCGGCCUCCCCAGAUGGGGCGGCCUUCCUUUUCUUUUCCCCCCCGGAUGGGGGGGGAGAGCUUUCUUCUUCCUCCUCCUCGUUUUCGUGGGAGGAGUGCGCCUCGGUGUUUUCGAACGAUGAGUCCGAUAUAACCUUACGCCGGAGACCCUUCCUGGUCCCCGUGGCCUUCUUCUCCGGCACCUCAUAAGGCGUCGGAACCAGCAUCUCUGUUAGAAGAGCAUCCGCUGGAUCUUCGGGCAGGGGAGCCGGACAAUCGAUCUGCUCCGCUGUCUCUACCCAGUCCUAUUCAGUGGCGUGAAGGCUUAGAUCCUGCGCAUGGUUAUACUGGGGAAGAGAACAUCUUAUAAGAUAUAAAAAACUUACCGGAUUGGCAGGGCGCUUCACGCUGAGUCCGCGGUCCUCGGUAAGGGAAGGAGGUACCUCGGCACCCUUGAACAGCACCUUCCAGACGUCCUGGUGCGUCGUGCCGAAGAGCUCGCACAGCGUCUGGUGCUUUACCAUGGCGCCUCCGCACUCCGCUUGCUGGCCAACCACCACCUUCGGUUUAACAUUGAAGGUCUUCAGCCACAGGCCGAAGUGGGGCUUGAUGCGGAGGAAGGCCUCGCACACGACGAUAAACACCGAGAUGUUGAGGAUGAAAUUGGGGGCCAGAUCGUGAAAGUCCAGCCCGUAGUAGAACAUGAGCCCACGGACAAAUGGGUGGAGGGGAAAUCCCAGUCCGCGGACGAAGUGGGUAAGAAAAACCACCCUCUCAUGGGGUUUUGGAGUAGGGACAAUCUGCCUUGCAUCUGGCAGCCGGUGCGCGAUAUCCGCGGCCAGGUAUCCGGCUCCCCGUAGCUUUGUGAUGUCCUCCUCCGUAACGGAGGAGACCAUCCACUUGCCUCCCGCUCCGGACAUGCUUGGAGUGGUUUGAGGAGAAAAACGCGAACUUGGGUGCUGGAGCUCGAGUGCGCAAGAAUGGAUGAGCAAGGAGGAAGAAGGUGUGGGUGAAAAGGAUGAAUCCUUGUCCCUUUAUAAGGGCGGAAGAAACUAUGCGCCUCCCCACCUGCCUGGUAAACUCGCUUAUUCCCCAAACGCCGUAAUUGAUGGCGCGGUUGGGUUACCCACACCCGUAUUGAUGAGAAUCCCGUGCAAAGGGGACACGAUCUCUGCUUUGACAAGAUGUGCCAAGAAAACCGCCUCGCAAUAUGUGCAGUGGCUGGUUGUGAAAAAACGGUUCGAAUAAUGACCAGGCCGCGGUAUGAUGUCAUGCCCCAGAACGUGUCAGCAGAUUAGAUUGGUGGAAAUAUUAUUCUCUCUACGGUGGUAUGUGGAAUUUGUUUUGCAGAGCCGGACACUAUCCUUGUGUUCAAAAUCUUCUAUGGAGUAUUCGGAGGAAGAACCCGCCUUGCAAUGCCGAAGACAAUCUCCGCGCCGGACUCAUCGUCAUUGAAGCCUGGUUCAGGGGCUACUGAGGGAGUCCUGGAUUAGGGGGUCCUCGGACACCCGGACUAUAUCCUUUGGCCGGACUGUUGGACUGUGAAGAUACAAGAUUGAAGACUCCGUCCCGUGUCCGGAUGGGACUCUCCUUAGCGUGGAAGGCAAGCUUGGCAAUACGGAUAGGUAGAUCUCCUCCCUUGUAACCGACUCCGUGUAACCCUAGCCCCCUCCGGUAUCUAUAUAAACCGGAGGGUUUAGUCCGUAGGACAAGAAGAACAACAAUCAUACCAUAGGCUAGCUUCUAGGGUUUAGCCUCUACGAUCUCGUGGUAGAUCAACUCUUGUAAUACUCAUAUCAUCAAGAUCAAUCAAGCAGGAAGUAGGGUAUUACCUCCAUCGAGAGGGCCCGAACCUGGGUAAACAUUGUGUCCCCCGCCUCCUGUUACCAUCCGCCUUAGACGCAUAGUUUGGGACCCCCUACCCGAGAUCCGCCGAUUUUGACACCGACAGUGGUGCUGAUGGCGCGCCGGCGGUGAAGACCGCACCGCCCCAAAGGCCAGUGCGCGUGGUGGAGGCCCUCCUUCUUCUUACUCUAGGCUUGGCCCUUCUCUUCUCUAUGGAGGUUGAAGGAAAUAUGCCCUAGAGGAAAUAAUAAAGUUGUUAUUUAUAUUUCCUUAUAUCAUGAUAGAUAUCUAUUAUUCAUGCUAGAAUUGUAUUAACCGGAAUACAUGUGUGGAUACAUAGACAAUACAGUGUCCCUAGUAAAGCCUCUACUAGACUAGCUCGUUAAUCAAAGGUGGUUAAGUUUCCUAACCAUAGACAUGUGUUGUCAUUUGAUGAAUGGGAUCACAUCAUUAGGAGAAUGAUGUGAUGGACAAGACCCAUCCGUUAGCUUAGCAUAAUGAUUGUUAAGUUUUAUUGCUAUUGCUUUCUUCAUGACUUAUACAUGUUCCUUUGACUAUGAGAUUAUGCAACUCCCGAAUACCGGAGGAAUACCUUGUGUGCUAUCAAACGUCACAACGUAAAUGGGUGAUUAUAAAGAUGCUCUACAGGUAUCUCCAAAGGUGUUUUGUUGGGUUGGCAUAGAUCGAGAUUAGGAUUUGUCACUCCGAGUAUCGGAGAGGUAUCUCUAGGCCCUCUCGGUAAUGCACAUCAUAAUAAGCCUUGCAAGCAAUGUGACUAAUGAGUUAGCUACGGGAUAAUGCAUUACGUAACGAGUAAAGAGACUUGCCGGUAACGAGAUUGAACUAGGUAUGAGGAUACCGACGAUCGAAUCUCGGGCAAGUAACCGAUGACAAAGGGAAUAACAUAUGUUGUCAUAACGGUUCGAUCGAUAAAGAUCUUUGUAGAAUAUGUGGGAGCCAAUAUGAGCAUCUAGGUUCCGCUAUUGGUUAUUGACCGGAGCAGUGUCUCGGUCAUGUCUACAUAGUUCUCGAACCCGUAGGGUCCGCACGCUUAACGUUUGAUGACGAUUUGUAUUAUGAUUUAUUGUGUUUUGGUAACUGAAGUUUGUUCAGAGUACCGGAUGAGAUCACGGACAUGACGAGGAGUCUCGAAAUGUUGGAGAGGUAAAGAUUAAUAUAUUGGACGAUGAUAUUCGGACACCGGAAUGGUUCCGAAGUGUUUCGGGUAUUUUUCGGAGUACCGGGAGGUUACCGGAACCCCCCGGGAAAGUAAUGGGCCAACAUGGGCCAUAGGGGAGAGAGAGGGGAGCCCACAAGGGGUGGCGCGCCCCCCAUGGGCUAUCUGAAUUGGACAAGGGGAAGGGGGUGCGACCCCCCUUUCCUUCUCCCUCUCCCUCUCCUUCCCCCUUCCCCCCCCCUGAAAGAAAGGAAGGGGGCCGACUUGGACUAGGAGUCCUAGUCGGUUUCCCCCCCCCAUGGCGCGCCCCCUAGGACCGGCGGCCUCCUCCCAUCCUCCUUUAUAUACGGGGGCAAGGGGCACCCCAAAGCACAUCAAUUGUUCUCUUAGCCGUGUGCGGUGCCCCCCUCCACAGUUUACUCCUCCGGUCAUAUUGUCGUAGUGCUUAGGCGAAGCCCUGCGCGGAUCACAUCACCGUCACCACGCCGUCGUGCUGACGAAACUCUCCCUCGACACUUUGCUAGAUCAAGAGUUCGAGGGACGUCAUCGAGCUAAACGUGUGCUGAACUCAGAGGUACUGUACGUUCGGUGCUUGAUCGGUUGGAUCGCGAAGACGUUCGACUAAAUCAACCGCGUUAAGCUAACGCUUUCGCUUUCGGUCUACGAGGGUACGUGGACACACUCUCCCCUUCUCGUUGCUAUGCAUCUCCUAGAUAGAUCUUGCAUGAUCAUAGGAAUUUUUUUGAAAUUGCAUGCUACGUUCCCCAACAGUGGUAUUAGAGCCAGGUCUAUGCGUAGAUGAUAUGCACGACUAGAACACAAAGAGUUGUGGGCGAUGAUAGUCAUCUUACCACCAAUGUCUUAUUUUGAUUCGGCGGUAUUGUUGGAUGAAGCGGCCCGGACCAACCUUACAUGACCGCGUUCAUGAGACCGGUUCCACCGACAGACAUGCAACUUGUUUUGCAUAAAGGUGGCUGGCGGGUGUCUGUUUCUCCAACUUUAGUUGAAUCGAAUUUGACUACGGCCGGUUGUUGUUGAAGGUUAAAACAGCAAACUUGACGAAACAUCGUUGUGGUUUUGAUGCGUAGGUAAGAAUGGUUCUUACUAGAAGCCCGUAGCAGCCACGUAAAACUUGCAACAAAAAAGUGCAUGUUGUGAUGUGAUAUGGUCAAGACAUGAUGUGAUAUACAUUGUUGUAUGAGAUGAUCAUGUUUUGUAAAAGUUAUCGGCAACUGGUAGGAGCCUUAUGGUUGUCGCUUUAUUGUAUGAGAUGCACACACCAUGUAAUUGCUUUACUUUAUCACUAUGCGUUACCGAUAGUUGUAGAAGCAAUAGUUGGCGAGACGACCACGACGCUACGAUGGAGAUCAAGGUGUCAAGCCGGUGACGAUGGAGAUCAUGACUGUGCUUUGGAGAUGGAGAUCAAAGGCACAAGAUGAUGAUGGCCAUAUCAUGUCACAUAUUUUGAUCGCAUGUGAUGUUUAUCUUUUAUGCAUCUUAUUUUGCUUAGUACGAUGGUAGCAUUAUAAGAUGAUCCCUUACUAGAAUUUCAAGGUAUAAGUGUUCUCCCUGAGUAUGCACCGUUGCGAUAGUUCGUCGUGCCGAGACACCAAGUGAUGAUCGGGUGUGAUAAGCUCUAUGUUCACAUACAACGGGUGCAAGACAGUUUUGCACGUGCGAAUACUCGGGUUAAACUUGACGAGCCUAGCAUGUACAGACAUGGCCUGGGAACACUGGAGACCGAAAGGUCGAACGUGAAUCAUAUAGUAGAUAUGAUCAACAUAGAGAUGUUCACCAUUGAAAACUACUCCAUCUCACGUGAUGAUCGGACAUGGUUUAGUUGAUUUGAAUCACGUGAUCAUUUAGAUGACUCGAGGGAUGUCUAUCUAAGUGGGAGUUCUUAAGUAAUAUGAUUAAUUGAACUUAAUUUAUCAUGAACUUAGUCCUGAUAGUUUUUGCAUAUCUAUGUUGUAGAUCAAUGGCCCGUGCUACCGUUCCCUUGAAUUUUAAUGCGUUCCUAGAGAAAGCUAAGUUGAAAGAUGAUGGUAGCAACUACACGGAUUGGGUCCGUAACUUGAGGAUUAUCCUCAUUGCUGCACAGAAGAAUUAUGUCCUUGAUGCACCGCUAGGUGUGCCACCCCCUCCAGCAACUGCAGACGUUGUGAACGCCUGGCAGUCGCGUGUUGAUGACUACUCGAUAGUUCAAUGCGCCAUGCUUUACGGCUUAGAAUCGGGACUUCAAAGACGUUUUGAAUGUCAUGGAGCAUAUGAGAUGUUCCAGGAGUUGAAGUUAAUAUUUCAAGCAAAUGCCCGAGUUGAGAGAUACGAAGUCUCCAACAAGUUCUAUAGCUGCAAGAUGGAGGAGAACAGUUCUGUCAAUGAACACAUACUCAGAAUGUCUGGGUACCAUAACCACUUGACUCAGCUAGGAGUUAAUCUUCCGGAUGAUAGUGUUAUUGACAGAGUUCUUCAAUCACUGCCACCAAGCUAUAAAGGCUUCAUGAUGAACUAUAAUAUGCAAGGGAUGGAGAAGACUAUUCCCGAGCUCUUCGCAAUGCUCAAAGCUGUGGAGGUAGAAAUCAAGAAGGAGCAUCAAGUGUUGAUGGUUAACAAGACCACUAGUUUCAAGAAAAAGGGUAAAGGAAAGAAGGGGAACUUCAAGAAGAAUGGAAAGCAAGUUGCCACUCCCGGGAAGAAGCCCAAGUCUGGACCUAAGCCUGAAACUGAGUGCUUCUACUGCAAAGGGAUUGGUCACUGGAAGCAGAACUGCCCCAAGUAUUUGGCGGAUAAGAAGGAUGGAAAAGUGAACAAAGGUAUAUUUGAUAUACAUGUUAUUGAUGUGUACCUUACUAAUGCUCGUAGUAGUGCCUGGGUAUUUGAUACCGGUUCGGUUGCUCAUAUUUGUAACUCGAAAUAGGGGCUACGGAUUAAACGAAGAUUGGCUAAGGACGAGGUGACGAUGCGCGUCGGGAAUGGUUCCAAGGCCGUUGUGAUCGCCGUCGACACGCUACCUCUACAUCUACCCUCGGGAUUAGUUUUAGACCUGAAUAAUUGUUAUUUGGUGCCAGCGUUGAGCAUGAACAUUAUAUCUAGAUCUUGUUUCAUGCGAGACGGUUAUUCAUUUAAAUCAGAGAAUAAUGGUUGUUCUAUUUAUAUGAUUAAUAUCUUUUAUGGUCAUGCACCCUUGAAGAGUGGUCUAUUUUUGUUGAAUCUCGAUCGUGGUGAUACAAAUAUUCAUAAUAUUGAUGCCAAAAGAUGCAAAGUUGAUAAUGAUAGUGCAACAUAUUUGUGGGACUGUCGUUUGGGUCAUAUUGGUGUAAAGCGCAUGAAGAAACUCCAUGUAGAUGGACUUUUGGAAUCACUUGAUUAUGAAUCAUUUGAUACUUGCGAACCAUGCCUCAUGGGAAAGAUGAAUAAGACUCCGUUCUCUGGAACAAUGGAGCGAGCUACUGACUUAUUGGAAAUAAUACAUACCGAUGUAUGCGGUCCGAUGAGUGUUGAGGCUCGCGGCGGGUAUCAUUAUUUUCUGACCUUCACAGAUGAUUUGAGCAGAUAUGGGUAUAUCUACUUAAUGAAACACAAGUCUGAAACAUUUGAAAAGUUCAAAGAAUUUCAGAGUGAAGUGGAGAAUCAUCGUAACAAGAAAAUAAAGUUUCUAUGAUAUGAUCGCGGAGGCGAAUAUCUGAGUUAUGAGUUUGGCCUUCAUUUAAAACAAUGUGGAAUAGUUUCACAACUCACGCCACCUGGAACACCACAACAUAAUGGUGUGUCCGAACGUCGUAAUCAUACUUUAUUAGAUAUGGUGCGAUCUAUGAUGUCUCUUACCGAUUUACCACUAUCGUUUUGGGGUUAUGCAUUAGAGACAGCUGCAUUCACUUUAAAUAGGACACCAUCUAAAUCCGUUGAGAUGACACCGUAUGAACUAUGGUUUGGCAAGAAACCUAAGCUGUCAUUUCUUAAAGUUAGGGGUUGUGAUGCUUAUGUGAAAAAGCUUCAGGCCGAUAAGCUCGAACCCAAAUCAGAGAAGUGCGUCUUCAUAGGAUACCCAAAAGAGACUGUUGGGUACACCUUCUAUCAUAGAUCCGAAGGUAAGAUCUUUGUUUCUAAGAAUGGAUCCUUUCUAGAGAAGGAGUUUCUCUCGAAAGAAGUGAGUGGGAGGAAAGUAGAACUUGAUGAUGUAAUUGUACCUUCUCUUGAAUUGGAAAGUAGCUCAUCACAGAAAUCAGUUCCAGUGAUCCCUACACCAAUUAGUGAGGAAGCUAAUGAUAAUGAUCAUGAAACUUCAGAUCAAGUUACUACCGAACCUCGUAGGUCAACCAGAGCACGUUCCGCACCAGAGUGGUACGGUAAUCCUGUUCUGGAAGUCAUGUUACUAGACCAUGAUGAACCUACGAACUAUGAGGAAGCGAUGAUGAGCCCAGAUUCCGCAAAAUGGCUUGAGGCCAUGAAAUCUGUGAUGGGAUCCAUGUAUGAGAACAAAGUGUGGACUUUGGUGGACUUGCCCGAUGACUGACAAGCCAUAGAGAAUAAACGGAUCUUCAAGAAGAAGACUGAUGUUGAUGGUAAUGUUACUGUCUACAAAGCUUGACUUGUCGCAAAAGGUUUUUGACAAGUUCAAGGAGUUCACUACGAUGAGACCUUCUCACCCAUAGCGAUGCUUAAGUCUGUCUGAAUCAUGUUAGCAAUUGCCGCAUUUUAUGAUUAUGAAAUAUGGCAAAUGGAUGUCAGAACUGCAUUCCUUAAUGGAUUUCUUAAAGAAGAGUUGUAUAUGAUGCAACCAGAAGGUUUUGUCGAUCCUAAAGGUGUUAACAAAGUGUGCAAGCUCUAGCGAUCCAUUUAUGGACUGGUGCAAACCUCUCGGAGUUGGAAUGUACGUUUUGAUGAGGUGAUCAAAGCAUAUGGUUUUAUACAGACUUUUGGAGAAGCCUGUAGUUACAAGAAAGUGAGUGGGAGCUCUGUAGCAUUUCUAAUAUUAUAUGUGGAUGACAUAUUGUUGAUUGGAAAUGAUAUAGAAUUUCUGGAUAGCAUAAAAGGAUACUUGAGUAAGAGUUUUUCAAUGAAAGACCUCAGUGAAGCUGCUUAAAUAUUGGGCAUCAAGAUCUAUAGAGAGAUCAAGACAGUUAAUUGGACUUUCACAAAGCACAUACCUUGAUAAGAUUUUGAAGAAGUUCAAAAUGGACCAGUCAAGGAAAGGGUUCUUGCCUGUGUUACAAGGUGUGAAGUUGAGUCAGGCUCAAUGCCCGACCAUUGCAGAAGAUAGAGAGAAAAUGAAAGUCAUUCCCUAUGCUUCAGCCAUAGGUUCUAUCAUGUAUGCUAUGUUGUGUACCAGACCUGAUGUGUGCCUUGCUAUAAGUAUAGCAGGGAGGUACCAAAGUAAUCCAGGAGUGGAUCACUGGACAGCGGUCAAGAACAUCCUGAAGUACCUGAAAAGGACUAAGGAUAUGUUUCUCGUUUAUGGAGGUGACAAAGAGCUCGUUGUAAAUGGUUACGUCGAUGCUAGCUUUGACACUGAUCCGGAUGACUCGAAGUCACAAACCGGAUACAUAUUUAUAUUGAAUGGUGGAGCUGUCAGUUGGUGUAGUUCCAAGCAAAGCGUCGUGGCGGGAUCUACGUGUGAAGCGUAGUACAUAGCUGCUUCGGAAUCAACGAAUGAAGGAGUCUGGAUGAAGGAGUUCAUAUCCGAUCUAGGCGUAAUACCUAGUGCAUCGGGUCCAAUGAAAAUCUUUUGUGACAAUACUGGAGCAAUAGCCUUGGCGAAGGAAUCCAGAUUUCACAAAAGAACCAAACACAUCAAGAGACGCUUCAACUCCAUCCGUGAUCAAGUCAAGGAGGGAGACAUAGAGAUUUGCAAAAUACAUACGGAUCUGAAUGUGGCAGACCCGUUUACUAAGCCUCUUCCACAAGCAUAACAUGAUCAACACCAAGACUGCAUGGGUGUUAGAAUCAUUACAAUGUAAUCUAGAUUAUUGACUCUAGUGCAAGUGGGAGACUGAAGGAAAUAUGCCCUAGAGGCAAUAAUAAAGUUGUUAUUUAUAUUUCCUUAUAUCAUGAUAGAUAUCUAUUAUUCAUGCUAGAACUGUAUUAACCGGAAACUUGAUACAUGUAUGGAUACAUAGACAAUACCGUGUCCCUAGUAAAGCCUCUACUAGACUAGCUCGUUAAUCAAAGAUGGUUAAGUUUCCUAACCAUAGACAUGUGUUGUCAUUUGAUGAACGGGAUCACAUCAUUAGGAGAAUGAUGUGAUGGACGAGACCCAUCCGUUAGCUUAGCAUAAUGAUGUGAGGAGUCUCGAAAUGUUGGAGAGGUAAAGAUUAAUAUAUUGGACGAUGAUACUCGGACACCGGAAUGGUUCCGGAGUGUUUCGAGUAUUUUUCGGAGUACCGGGAGGUUACCGGAACCCCCGGGAAAGUAAUGGGCUAACAUGGGCCAUAGGGGAGAGAGAGGGGAGCCCACAAGGGGUGGCACGCGCCCCCCAUGGGCUGUCCGAAUUGGACAAGGGGAAGGGGCGCGGGACCCCUUUCCUUCUCUCUCUCCCUCUCCUUCCCCUUUCCCUCUCCGAAAGAAAGGAAGGGGGGCCGAUUUGGACUAGGAGUCCUAGUCGGUUUCCCCCCCAUGGCGCGCCCCCUAGGGCCGGCGGCCUCCUCCCCUCAUCCUUUAUAUGGGGGGGGGGCAGGAGGGCACCCCAAAGCACAUCAAUUGUUCUCUUAGCUGUGCGUGGUGCCCCCCUCCAUAGUUUACUCCUCCGAUCAUAUUUUCGUAGUGCUUAGGCGAAGCCCUGCGCGGAUCACAUCACCAUCACCGUCACCAUGCCAUUGUGCUGACAAAACUCUCCCUCGACACUUUGUUGGAUCAAGAGUUCGAGGGACGUCAUCAAGCUGAACGUGUGCUGAACUCGGAGGUACCGUACGUUCGGUGCUUGAUCGGUUGGAUCACGAAGACGUUCGACUACAUCAACCGCGUUAAGCUAGCACUUCCGCUUUCGGUCUACGAGGGUACGUGGACACACUCACCCCUUGUCGUUGCUAUGCAUCUCCUAGAUAGAUCUUGCGUGAUCGUAGGAAAUUUUUUGAAAUUGCAUGCUACGUUCCCCAACAGAGGUGGCCUUGGAGAAACAAUGGAGAUGGAUGACGGCUGCAUGGAUGAAUGAAUGAGGAGAUGGGAGGCGCUUAGGGUUGGAUGUGCUUACUCUAGUAAGCAUGCACGUGAAAUUCACGUGCAUUAACAAGAUGAGACAUCGUCUCACAAAAAUAAAAGACAAGACUUCAUGCGUGCCUGCCUUGGCAAAGAUGACAUACUUAGUGCAUGCUAACGCGUCUUUGUAUCCUGAUGAAGCAUCGAAAUUGUUCCCAAGAAAAUACCUGCAAGUGACGUUGUCUGCUGGGCCUGCUCGUUCGAACCAGCUUUUUUCCCUUUUCUUGUCUGAUGUUGUUUUACAGGAGUUUGAUUCAGGUUCUUGUGUUGUGAGUUUGAUUCUGUGUUUAUGUUAGACAAGUACAGUAGGAGUACAUCGCAAGCUUGUUGUAAUAAGAUGAAUAUGCUUCAUAGCUAACUGUUGCCUGAGUUUCAAAAGAUUUUUCGUGUACACAGUAUUUACAUGUCAAGUUAUAAUAAGAUGGAUAUGCUUCAUAUCUAACUAUUGUCUGAUUUUCUAAAGGAUUUACUUCCAUCUGUCGUCGUGCCCACAACAUGAACCAAAAAAAGAAUCAUAGUUCAAAUGAAAAUACAACCUUUUGCCGCAAACUAACUCACGUGGAAAUUAAUAAGAAAUUCACAUAUGAAGCAGGUGUAUCAAAAAUUUACAUGACGCAGUCGGAUCAUCUUCGUCAGCUUUAAAGGUAUAUCCAGCGCCGGCUUCCACAUUUCACGACUUGUAAGUAGGAGCAUGAACACGUUGGACAUAUAUUUAACAACUAACAUAUAGUAAAUUAAACUACUCCCAUCUGCCUCAUUGUGCCUACUCCUUGUGCAUCUCCAGGAUACCAAAUUUGAUGAAGAAAAUCAACUGUAAAGAACAUUGUCCCGGGCCUCCUCUCCCUAGUAUUCGAACUUCGUUCUUCAAAAUCUAUUUGGCCAAAAUCUAUGUAGCUCCUGGGCAUGGUUUCUUUUGCUAGAUAUUUGUCACUUUUAACCUUCUACAUAUGUAUAUACAUGGUAUAUCACUGGACAUAGCAUAAUGAUAUUCCCCAAAGAUAUGUGUUGAUGUGUUUAACUCUCUUCCUUCGACUGGCAUAAUGUGACAAAAUUACAUGGUUCAGAGGUGAAGACCGCACCGGCCCGAAGGCCAGUGCGCGUGGUGGAGGCCCCCCUUCUGCUUACUCUAGGCUUGACCCUUCUCUUCUCUAUGGAGGUGGUCUUGGAGCAACAAUGGAGAUGGAUGACGGCUGCAUGGAUGAAUGAAUGAGGAGAUGGGAGGCGCCUAGGGUUGGAGGUGCUUAUAUGAAGGCCUCCCGGUAUCUCUUGAUGUGGGACGCCGCUGAAAUGAUCUUUCAUGGUGCCAAAGAACUCACAAGGAGCAACAACUAUCUCUCUCAAGUGGCAAAGAACAAGAGGAAACACUCUCAAAUAUAUUGAAGUGGAUAACUAGCUUGGUUUACAAUGAUGCAACCCAAACCAUGAAACUUGUGAACCUAUGUAGAAUCACAAGAGGGAAUCACAAGGAUCCUAUAUGAACUGAGGACAGACCCUCGAAUCCACACACACGAGCUAACACUCAAGGAUACUAGUGCUCACAACACACCACCUCAUCGGCUGUCUACAAACAUAAACUCAGAAAUUUCAUCCUCCCUUCACAUGGAACAGCCGAGAAGUACUUAUACUAGAAGCACAUAUACUAGUUAGGUGUGAAAAAACUAAAAAUGAAGGGUAAAUUCGUGAGCCCCAACACUACAAAAAAAAUACACUUCCGUGAUGAUACGUGUUUGUCACAGUAGGUCACGUUUUCUAUCAUGCAUGUACAUCCAUGACGAUUUUAUGACAGAAUCAAGAUAGUCAUACAUGUGCUGUCGUAGAAGUGUUCCAUGACAUUACCAAAAUUAUCAUCACGGAAGUGUCCACUUCCAUGACGAUAAAUCACGCGUCAUAGAAGUGCUUUCGUCAAGGGUGACCGACACAUGGCAUCCACCGUAACGGGUCGCCGUUAAGCUAUCGGGUCUGGUUUUGGAUCCGAUAACCUGUUAACAGCCCGGACCAAUGGGAAUUUUCCACAUGUAAAAUUCUCAUUGGCCGGAGGAAACACGUGUCGGCUCACCGUUGGGACAGAUGUCAUCCACUCAUUGGACAUAAGGCGCCAAUGAUACGUCGACACAUGGCAUGGCCCAACAGAGGCCCAUUCCUGUGAAAAGGCCGGCCCGUUUGACUUGGUCAAAAGACAGCGGGCCGGCCCACGAAAAGCCUGUUAACGGCCUGUUCGCGCAUAGCCCAUUUACAACCCGCUAACACUACUGGAAUCAGGGAUUUUGCCGUCUGCCAGUUCUUUGCCGUCUGCUUGCGGACGGCAAAGGUCUUUGCCAUCAGCUACCGAACAACAAACGGCAAAGAACUAGCAGACAACAAAGAAGGUCUUUGCCAUCUAUCAUUUCUUUGCCGUCUGCUGGCAGAUGGCAAAGAAUCUCUGACGUCUGCGGGCAGAUGGCAAAGAAUCUUUGCCAUCUGCCAGCGGACGGCAAAGAGGUGCCACCGGAUGCCAGUGCACUGCAAUGGUCCACCCCCUCUUUGUCGUCUGCCGGCAGACGGCAAAGAAGGGGGCUAUCUUUUUUUUGCGGGUAAAAAAAUCGUUGCCCCCACCUCCUCUAUCUCUAUCCCCUCUCUCUCCGCCCCUCUCUCUGGCCCACCCCUCUCUCUCUCUCCCGCUCAUCUCUCCCUCUCCCUCGCGUGAGCAGCUAUGGCGGCCAAUUCCGGCGAGCUCCGGCGGGAUUCAAUGGCGCCCAGCACACCCACGUGACCCCCUCGCCCCACUCCUCCAUCCCCUUCGACCAGAUCCGACGCGCGUGUGGGAUCAGGUGUUGCUAGUGGUAGUUCGGGGCGUGCGGGCGGACCAGAUCGACCUCAAGACCCUCGACGAGCAGCUCGACCGCCACCUCGCGCGCGCAUGGACCAUGGACAAGCCCAAGCGCAACCAGGAUCACCAGCAGUAGCAGCCGCGCCAGGACUGGGAGGCCGACCCCGCCAGGCUCGUCGUCCGGGGCGUCAUCGCGCAUGGCACCUUCAGCACCGUCCACCGCCGUGUCUACGACGGCCUCGACGUCGCAGGUCCGUCCCGCCACCAUCUCCUCUGCUCCACUCCCCUCCCCUCCAUCCCCCGUUCACUGCACGCAUGUUCAUUGCCAACACGGACACUCGGCACGCGGGUACAUACGUAGCCAGCCCAGCCGCGACCCCGCGCGCGCCUGUAGGCUGUUCGACGGAAUGCCUGCCGGUGCGGCGGCGCCGUUCAUUGCGGCGAGACUCACUCGACUCGAUCGAUCGGUNNNNNNNNNNNNNNNNNNNNNNNNNNNNNNNNNNNNNNNNNNNNNNNNNNNNNNNNNNNNNNNNNNNNNNNNNNNNNNNNNNNNNNNNNNNNNNNNNNNNNNNNNNNNNNNNNNNNNNNNNNNNNNNNNNNNNNNNNNNNNNNNNNNNNNNNNNNNNNNNNNNNNNNNNNNNNNNNNNNNNNNNNNNNNNNNNNNNNNNNNNNNNNNNNNNNNNNNNNNNNNNNNNNNNNNNNNNNNNNNNNNNNNNNNNNNNNNNNNNNNNNNNNNNNNNNNNNNNNNNNNNNNNNNNNNNNNNNNNNNNNNNNNNNNNNNNNNNNNNNNNNNNNNNNNNNNNNNNNNNNNNNNNNNNNNNNNNNNNNNNNNNNNNNNNNNNNNNNNNNNNNNNNNNNNNNNNNNNNNNNNNNNNNNNNNNNNNNNNNNNNNNNNNNNNNNNNNNNNNNNNNNNNNNNNNNNNNNNNNNNNNNNNNNNNNNNNNNNNCGCCGAUGUUAAGGACUUGUUGUUCUGCAUCAUUCGCCUAUUUCCCCAUUCUUACAUAGGUUGCUUCAUUUUGCAACCCCCAAGCUAUAGGUACGCAUUGCUCUGCAAUGGAAAUCAAUUUAAACCCUCGUGGGAAAAUCCGGACUGAUCUAAGGUUGAUUUUUUUUAAUUUUAAUCCUGUAAGCACUUGAAUUGAAAGACAUAAAUAAAAGGUAUUUCAGUAGUGGAUAACCUUACCUCAUUAGCCUAGAGAGCACUAUAGUCAGUAUGUUGUUGUCGACCCAUAUAUCCGAGGACAGGUUAUGCAGAUUUUUGAUACGUCUGCAACGUAUCUACUUUUUCUCACGCUUUUCCUCUUGUUUUGGACUCUAAUUUGCAUCAUUUGAAUGAAACUAACCCCGGUCUGACGCUGUUUUCAGCAGAACUACCAUGGUGUUGUUUUUGUGCAGAAAUAAAAUUUCUCAGAAUAAAAUGAAACUUUGCGAGGAUUUUUGAUGGAAUAAAAGAAGAUUUUUGGAGCCAACAACCACCGGAGAGGGGCCCCUGGGUGGGCACAACCCACUAGGGCGCGCCCCCCUCUCCUCACGCGCCCAGGUGGGUUGUACCCACCUGGUGGCCCCGCUGACAACCCCCCUGAUACUAUAAAUUCACAUAUUUCCAGAAAAAAAUCAGGGAGAAAGAACUAUCGCGUUUCAUGAGACGGAGCCACCGCCAAGCCCUGUUCUUCCUCGGGAGGGCAAAUCUGGAGUCUGUUUGGGGCUCCGGAGAGGGGGAUCUUUGUUCUUCGUCAUCACCAACCAAUCUCCAUCGCCAAUUCCAUGAUGCUCCCCACCGGGAGUGAGUAAUUCCUUCGUAGGCUCGCUGGUCGGUGAGGAGUUGGAUGAGAUUCAUCAUGUAAUCGAGUUAGUUUUGUUAGGGCCCGAUCCCUAGUAUCCACUAUGUUCUUAGAUUGAUGUUGCUAUGACUUUGCUAUGCUUAAUGCUUGUCACUUUGGGCCCGGGUGCCAUGAACUCAGAUCUGAACCGUUUAUGAAUUCAUCAUUAUAGCCAUGUUUUAGAUCCGAUCUUGCAAGUUAUAGUCACCUACUACGUGUUAUGAUCCGACAACCCCGGAGUGACAACAACCGGGCCCACUCUCGGUGAUGACCGUAGUUUGAGGAGUUCAUGUAUUCACUAUGUGUUAAUGCUUUGUUCCGGUUCUCUAUUAAAAGGAGGCCUUAAUAUCCCUUAGUUUCCAAUUUGGACCCCGCUGCCACGGGAGGGUAGGACAAAAGAUGUCAUGCAAGUUCUUUUAAUAAAGCACGUAUGACUAUUUACGGAAUACAUGCCUACAUUAUAUCGAUGAACUGGAGCCAGUGUCGUAUCGCCCUAGGUUAUAUUUGUCACAUGAUGAAUAUCAUCCAACAAGUCACCGAUCCAAUGCCUACGAAUUUAUUUAUAUUGAUCUUGCUAAGUUACUACUGCUGCUGCUACUGUUACACUUGCCACAAGAUUACUACUAUCAUUGUUACUAUUACUAUUACUGCUGUCACUACUAUCAAAACUAUCAAACUAUUGUGCUACUGAUCACUUUGCUGCAGAUAAUUAAUCUCCAGAUGUGGUUGAAUUGACAACUCAGCUGCUAAUACCUUCAAAUAUUCUUUGGCUCCCCUUGUGUCGAAUCUAUAAAUUUGGGUUGAAUACUCUACCCUCAAAAACUGUUGCGAUCCCCUAUACUUGUGGGUUAUCAAGACCAUUUUAUGGCGCCGUUGCCGGGGAGCAUAUCAAUAUUUGUUGAGUCACUUGGGAUUAUUAUCAUAUUAUCACUAUGAAGAAUCUGAAGGAUCCAAAGACUAAGAUAUUUCUCUCAAAGAUGAGGGGAGGUAAGGAACUGCCAUCCAGUUCUGCUUUAGGUUCACCUUCUAUUAUGAGUAAACUUGCAACACCACCACCACAUGCUAUUAAUUCUGAUAUGUCGCAAGUUUUUGAUGCUGCUACUUCUUAUGGAUAAUGUUUAUGAUGAUGCUAGUAACUUGCUUGGCAAUGAUGAUGUGCCACUUGGUGAAUUUCUUGAUGAACAAAUUGCUAGAGUUAUACAACAUGAUGUUGUUGAAUCUGAUGAUGAGCUUGAAACUGAAACUCCUAAAACACCUGCUAGAACUAGCUUUCCUAGAUAUGAAUUUCCUAAGGUACCGGAAGGUUAUGUUAUGAAUGAGGAGACAACUAGAGGUAUUCUUGCUUGUAGGGAUAGAGAUGAUCUAGACAAAUUAUUAUGCAAGUACAAAGAAAAAUCUCUGAAUGCUAGAGUGAAGUAUGAUCCUAAGUUUGCUACUUCACCUAUCUGUAUUGCUGAUAAGGAUUAUGAAUUCUCUAUCGAACCAGAGUUAAUUACUUUGGUUGAAUCUGAUCCUUUCCAUGGUUAUGAAACUGAAACUGUUGUGGCACAUCUUACUAAGUUGAAUGAUAUAGCCACCCUUUUUACUCAUGAUGAGAAAACUUGCUAUUAAUUUAUUCUCAAAUUAUUUCCUUUCUCAUUAAAGGGUGAUGCUAAAGCUUGGUACAAUACUCUUACUCAUGGUUGUGUGUGUAGUCCCUAGGAUAUGACCUAUUACUUCUCUGAAAAAUAUUUUCCUGCUCAUAAGAAACUUGCUGCCUUACAGGAAAUAUUUAACUUUGUUCAAACUAAAGAAGAGAGCCUCCCACAAGCUUGGGGGAGGCUUUGCCAGUUACUUAAUGCUUUGCCUGAUCAUCCUCUUAAGAAAAAUGAAAUACUUGAUAUCUUCUAUAAUGGACUAACCGAUGCUUCUAGGGACUUCCUAGAUAGUUGUGCUAGUUGUGUUUUCAGGGAACGAACUAUUGCUCAAGCUGAAGAAUUAUUGAACAACAUAUUGAAAAACUAUGAUGAUUGGACUAUUCCUGAACCACCGGCUAAACUCACUCCUAGGAAGAGGGGUAUAUUAUAUCUCAGUCCUGAAGAUAUGCAAGAGGCAAAGAAAUCUAUGAAGGAAAAAGGUAUUAAAGCUGAGGAUGUUAAAAAUUUACCUCCUAUUGAAGAAAUACAUGGGCUUGAAACACCACUACUGCUUAAGGUGGUAGAGGUAAAUUCUUUAAUGAAGUUCAAUGAAAAUGAUAAUCCUCACAAUAUGCAUCCUAGUCAAUGCCUUUAUGAGUUUGAAAACAACAUUAGAAAACAAGAUCACUUCAAUGCAAAUGUUAUGAAACAAUUGAAAUACAAUUCUGAUAUGAUUGCUCGCUUGAGUGACUUGUUAUUUAGAAUUUCAAAUGAUGUUAGAGGUGUUGGAAAACAUGCUUCUAUGGUUCAAACCCAACUAGAACAAGUUGCUAAAUCACAAAGAGAAUUGCUUGAUGAAAUGAAUAAUAAUAUGCAUGACUUUGCUGUUAGAGUUGCAACUAGAGGAGGUGAAAUGACCCAGGAACCACUUUAUCUUGAAGGACACACAAAAAGAAUUAUACAAGAUUCACAAAGAGCUAACACUAGUGCACCUAGUCCUACAAAAAAGAAAAAGAAAAAGAAAAAUGAUAGGGCUUUGCAUGCUUCUAGUGAACCUGAAAUAGAGAAACCUCCUGAUAAUGAAAAUGGAAUUUAUAUCUCUGAUGCUGAAACUCAAUCUGGUAAUGAACAUCCACUUAGUGAUAAUGAAAAAGAUAAUGCUGAUGUUCAUGAAGAUGCUCAAUUAAAUGAAAAAGAACCAGAUAAUGAUCUGGAGAUAGAACCACCUGUUGAUCUUGAUAACCCACAACCUAAGAAUAAAAGGUAUGAUAAAAGUGACUUCAUUGCUAGAAAACACGGUAAAGAAAGAGAACCGUGGGUUCAAAAACCUAUGCCUUUUCCACCCAAGUCAACUAAAAAGAAUGAUGAUGAAGAAUUUGAACGCUUUGCUAAGAUGCUGAGGCCAGUCUUUUUGCGUACUCGCUUAACUGAUAUCUUGAAAAUGCCUCCUUAUGCAAAGUAUAUGAAAGACAUCAUCACAAAUAAGAGAAAAAUACCGGAAGCUGAAAUCUCCACCAUGCUUGCUAAUUAUACUUUGAAAGAUGGAGUACCUAAAAAACUUGGAGAUCUGGGUAUACCAACUAUACCUUGCUCUAUCAAAAAGAAUUAUGUGAAAACUGCUUUGUGUGAUUUAGGAGCUGGUGUUAGUGUUAUGCCUUUCUCUUUAUAUAAAAGACUUGAUUUGAAUAAACUCACACCUACUGAAAUAUCCUUGCAAAUGGCCGACAAAUCAACUGCCGGACCUAUUGUUAUCUGUGAGGAUGUUCCCGUUGUUGUUGCCAAUGUUUCUAUUUUGACUGACUUUGUUAUACUUGAGAUGCCCGAGGACGACAACAUGUCGAUUAUCCUUGGUAGACCCUUCUUGAAUACUACAGGGGCUGUUAUUGAUUGCAAUAAAAGCAAGGUCACUUUUCAUAUUAAUGGUAAUGAGCACACGGUGCACUUUCCGAAGAAACAAUUCCAAGUGAAUGGUAUUAAUGUUAUUGAAAAAUCUCCGACAAUCACUAUUGGAAGUUUUCAAAUACCUCGACCUACCGUCAAAAACAAAUAUGAAAUGCUUAUUGUUGGGGAGAUGCAUAUCCCCAUUGAGGUAACUUAGUGAUUUAUGAAAGUUCUUCGGUUUCAUGCUAAUCGAAAGUGGUUGUUAAUAAGACCUGAUCAACCUUAUUAAUGAAUCAUUUUUGAGCGGUAUGAAGUUGAUGAAUUUAGUAAUCACUACCUUCUGUCUCUACUUUUUGUUUUUUGUUUUAUUAGUUAAAUAAAAUAAAAUGCAAUGAUAUGUCUGUUUUCUAAAUUUCCCGUGCAAUAAAAAAUGACCCAAAAAUAAAGGUUCUCAGAAUGCCCUGAAAAUUUUAUAUGAUUUUUUCUGAAUAUUUAAGAAUUUUUGGUGCAAAUAAUACCAGAGGGAGGUGCACCAGGUGGGCACAACCCACCUAGGCACGCCAGGACCCCCAGGCGUGCCUUGGUGGGUUGUGGUCCCCACGUGGGCCCCCUCACUUAUCUCUUUAGCCCACAUCAUCACUUACCUCCAGAAAAAAAUCCCCAUUGCUCUCUCUCCUGUGUUCUUGAGCUCAAGCCCGCGAAUUUCGAUCUCUUUGCUUGAAGCUCCAUUUUCGAAACUGUUUCGGGGGAUUGUUGCUUGAAAAUUGUAUGCGGACAUUAUGAACCUAUUUGGAAGGAUCUUCGAGGAGACGAUCCUCGGGGGCAUCUUCUAGUGACAGUUCUGCUCGUCGGUCUUAUGUUGAACCAAGUGAAAGUUCCACGCGAGAUGCCGCCACUAAAACUUGCUUAUGGCCUUGCGAUGAGUAUAUGAUGCAAGUGGGCAUGAAGGAGGAAUUCGAGCAAUAUGUUCACAAUGUCGGUCUCGGUCCCUACCUCUCAGAUAAGUGUGAACAUCGCCAUCUUCUCACUGAAUCAUUUGUCAAAGGAUUUAAAUAUUUUCCACGUGAGUCUAGGGUGUCGUUUAUGCUUUAUGAUAAUCCAUAUACAAUCUCACUAGAUAAUUUUGAUUACCAUUGCAAGCUUCCAUUUUGGGAUUCGCUUGAUGAGCCACCAAAGGCUGAGUAUGAGUCUUUCUUGACUAGCCUUUGUUACGGUGAAAGUAGGGGAGUAAGACAAGGAAGAAUAAAGAGCAUUCACUUUCUCGCAAUUCAGUACCUUACAUUAUUUAACAGGAAAUGCAUUGUGGGCAAGCAAGACUGUAGCAUACUUUGUGCGCCAGACUUGAGCCUCUUUCACAGCGCUCUCACUGGUGAAAGGAAUUAUAACUUUGGAGCAAUUGUUGCACGUAGACUUUAGCAUAACGCCAAAAGUGGCUGGUUCUAUGGUGGAAUUUAUGCCACGCGUUUAGCAUGAGGGGUGCGUGUUUCACCUUUACCCUUUGAUCCCAUCCUACCCACGCAGUAUUUAGACUUUGACACCUUAAAAGAACAUAAGAUUCUUAUGGGAAGGGCUGAUAAUUUCACUUAUAAUUUGUUGUUUAACCAAUCACAUGUUGUGGAUACAUAUUUGCCCGCGCCUGCUCUUUUUGACUUUAACAGCAAGAGAAGAUAUUUUGCUCUUGAGAGCGAGGCCCGAGCUCAUAAUGCGGCAGUGGUAGCAGCACGGCAGGCCAUGGCUUCCGCACCAAGAGCCUCUGUGAGCUACCACACU
rnacentral:lncRNA from 1 species